UUUUUUCUAGGUCAAAACUUUUCAUAUAGCAGGAGAUGGGCACGAGACGAUGGUCAGGGGGCCCAAAAGCCCUAGGGGCGCACCCUGUAGGCCACGCCCCCCAGGCUUGUGGACACCUGGUGGGUCCCCUUCUUUAAGUUCUUCGCCCAAUAUUUUUUAUAUAUUCCAAAAUAAUUCUCCGUAAAGUUUCAGGAAAUUUGGAGUUGUGCAUAAUAGGUAUCUCAGAUUUGCUCCUUUCUGGUCCAGAAUCCAGCUGCCGGCAUUCUCCCUCUUCAUGUAAAUCUUGUAAAAUAAGAGAGAAAAGGCAUAAGUAUUGUACCAUAAUGUGAAAUAACAAUCCAUAAUGCAAUAAAUAUCAACAUAAAAGCAUGAUGCAAAAUGGACAUAUCAAGGGGGUAGCUAGAAGGAGAUGGUUAAGUGUGAGUGUGUGUUUUAAAGAAACCCAUCCAGAUGGAGGUCAUGUGCACACAAGAGGAGAAAGAUUCGAUGUGGGGUGAGGGUUGAAGGUAAUUAACUACAUAUGGAGACAUAUGAGACCUUUGAACGUGCAUGUGCGAGAGAUAUACAUACAUGGGGUGUGUGUGUGUGCAUGCAUGAUAGAGAUAACAGAAAGGAGACAUAAGUCAUAAGAUCAACGGGAUGGGAGAUAUGGAUCGGUAUGAGUAUGACAAUAUGCAUUCAUGUGAGAGUGGAGGGAAGAAGGCCCGGUGAUUGAGCAUGUGUUUUUUCUUUAAGAGAGAGUGUCGUGGGCUAGAGCAUGCAUCUAUGGCGAGGAGAGAGAGCGAAACACAACGUGUGUGCAAAACAGAUUGACAUAUAGAUGCAUGUAUAGAGAAACACAUAUAGUGUGCGUGAUAGGAAGCAAGAGUGCGUGCGAGAAAGAAAGGUUGACAGAGAAACAUAUAGAUAGAGAGAUAGAGAUGCUAGCUAGAGGGAUAUCGGCUAGUUUGUGUGUUAGAGAUAACAGUCGAGUGGUUCAAAGGGGUGAGUUAUGUGUGUGAGAGAGAAAGAUAAAAAGAGGGUGCAUGAAUGCAUGUAGAGAGAAACAGAUAUAGUGUGUGUGAUAGGAAGCAAGAGUGCGGGCGAGAAAGAAGGUUCGUGGAGAAACAGAUAAAUAGAAAGAUAGAGAUGCUAGCUAGAGGGAGAUCGGAUAGUGUGUGUGUAACGCCCCGGAUUCGAUGCACCAGGUGUCUUCCAGUUAUUCCCCAUCGUUGCCAUGUUGUGUGCUUGCGUGUUGCAUUUUGCCAUGUCAUCAUCUGCAUUGCAUCCUCAAGUUUUCGAAACUUGCAUCCGGUCCUUUUCCCCGUUGUCCGUUUCGCGAUCCGACACCCCCACACGCGCCUGUCGCCCCUCUCCGACCUUGUUUCGUGAGCGGGAGAAAAACGUUCUCGGAAUGGGCCGAGAUUUUCCGAGUGGCCUUGGUAUAGAACCGACAGACCGCCCGUCAAAUUUCGUUCCAUUUGGAGGUCGUUUGAUGCCCCAACGGUUAACCGGGUAACCGUAAAACCCCUCUCUUUGCAGCCCAGCUCCCCUCCACCAUAGCCCAUGAGCCCAUACAAACCCCCUCCAUGCUCUCGGCGUUCGAUCAUGAUCAUGUGGCCGAAAACCGCACCUCAUUUGGACACUCCUAGCUCCCUCUACCUAUAAAUAUGCCAUUCUCCCCCGAAAUUGCGGAUGAAACCCUAGCCCAUCUUCUCCAAUCGCGCCGGACAUGUCCGCCGCCCACCGGACACNNNNNNNNNNNNNNNNNNNNNNNNNNNNNNNNNNNNNNNNNNNNNNNNNNNNNNNNNNNNNNNNNNNNNNNNNNNNNNNNNNNNNNNNNNNNNNNNNNNNNNNNNNNNNNNNNNNNNNNNNNNNNNNNNNNNNNNNNNNNNNNNNNNNNNNNNNNNNNNNNNNNNNNNNNNNNNNNNNNNNNNNNNNNNNNNNNNNNNNNNNNNNNNNNNNNNNNNNNNNNNNNNNNNNNNNNNNNNNNNNNNNNNNNNNNNNNNNNNNNNNNNNNNNNNNNNNNNNNNNNNNNNNNNNNNNNNNNNNNNNNNNNNNNNNNNNNNNNNNNNNNNNNNNNNNNNNNNNNNNNNNNNNNNNNNNNNNNNNNNNNNNNNNNNNNNNNNNNNNNNNNNNNNNNNNNNNNNNNNNNNNNNNNNNNNNNNNNNNNNNNNNNNNNNNNNNNNNNNNNNNNNNNNNNNNNNNNNNNNNNNNNNNNNNNNNNNNNNNNNNNNNNNNNNNNNNNNNNCCUUCUGGUGCAUUAUUCAUCAUGCUAUAACUCCAUGUGUGCUGCUUCUUUUCAUGCAUAUAAUAUGUAAAAAUAUUCAUCAUGAGAUACUCUUCAUUUUGUUCCAUUGUGUCAUGUUCAUUUGAGUCCAUCUUGAUGCCCAAAUCAUCAUUGCAAGAGUGCUAUAUGAUGUUAUCUACUGCCUGUUAACAGAACUUGAUGAUUUGUCUUUUUCAUUGCAUUUUGUGUGUGCAUCCUAUGAGCAUGAGCUCUACAUGUGUUUUGUACGACAUCAUGUCAUCUUUACAGAGGUUCUUAUCUUGUAUUUUUGUGAUCUAUAUGGUGACUAGCACAAGCAUGCAAAGUAGCCUCCAUGAUGUUGUUGUUUUCUGUGACUAGGUAAUUUCUGCUAAGUCUGUCUGUUAUAUUUUGUUGUCAUGUAAACCUGCUGCUACCAUGCGUUCUAUGCAUAAUAUGGAGAUGUUCACUAAGGUUGUUUUGUUAUAAUUGUUAUGAUAUAUCCAUCCAUGCCUUGGUUUGCAUUUAUAGCCUGCUGUAGCUUGUUGUUAUCAUGCUCUAAACUUGCUAAAUAAUGUUGCUGUCAGCCUGUUAACAUGAAGUUCAGUAUUGCCAUGUCUUUUGCUAGUGAUACAUGCACCCUAUAACUAUGCUAUUGCCAUUCUUAGCUUCAUAUUUAUUCCAUCUUACUGUUGGUCACCUUGUCAUUCCUUGUAUUUCUCUGUGGUGGGUGGUUUAAGCUCACUUACAUGCCUACUUAUCGUUGUUUCUGCCAUGUACUGUUAUUUUCACUGUCUGAAUCUGUCAUAUUACUUGCCAUGGUUGCAUGGAUGCUACCAUAUUUUCUGUUGAUCUUUAGAAUUAUAUCAGUAAGUGAGUUUUGUUAUCUGUCUGUAGUACUAGCAUGCCAUGCUUAAGUUUGCCAUGAUAGCUUGCUGUAACAUGUUGUUUGAUAGCUCUAAACAUUGCAACCUGAUGUUAUUUCUGUCAUGUCCAGACAUUUUCUGCCAAGUCUGUGAACUGUUAUUAUUUGUAAGCUUGCCAUGUCCUUUUGAGCAUGUUCUAGUGAUUUCUGGAGAUAGCUCAGUGUUCAUGUUUUGUCAUGCUUUACCUGUACCUCAUGUCCAUGCCUUUUGUUAUCAUGUUGGGGUGUUGUAGCAUAUUGUUUUGAUGCUUUCAAGAUGCCUAGUUGCUGUUUUGGACAGAUUGUUGUUAUGUCUUGUUUGGAGUGUAUGUGUUGCACCGUUGCACCGUUUUGAGCAUGCUAUAUAUGGAACUUGCUUAGAAUUGCAUGCAGCUUCCUAUUAUCAUGUUGCAUCCUUGCUUUGAGGUGUUUGCUUGAUGUUUGGAUGCAUUUUGCAUCAAUGCCAUGUUUAACUUGUUUUGCUCAUAUCUUCUAGGCCGUAGCUCCGAACUAAAUGAGCUUUAUAUGUAACUUGACUAGAAUUUCGUGUAGAUCAUCUUGGUGCAACUUAACUUGCUGUUUAACAACUUGAACAUAAGGUUUAUUCAGAUCUGAACCAAAUUCUAAAUUUGCAUAUGGGGUCUUUCCGGAUUUGUUAUAUGUUGUUUCCGGCCUCAUUUAAACUUGCUUUGAUGUGUUGCUCUUGUAUGCAUCAUCUCUUGCCAUGAGUAGCUUCAUGUAGCCUUGUCAUGCAUCAUACUUGGUUGAGCAUCAUUCCUUGUUCAUGUGUGGUGUGUUUACCAUGUGGUGUGAUUCUUCUCGAUAGUUCCCGUUUCGUUGCGAUCGUGAGGAUUCGUUCGUCUACGCUUGGUUCGUCUUCGUGGCUUCAUCUUCUUCAUGUACUCGUUCUUCUUCCUAGCGGGAUUUCAGGCAAGAUGACCGUCACCUUGGAUCUCAUUACUAUCAUUGCUAUGCUAGUUGCUUCGUUCUAUCGCUAUGAAGCGUUACCUAUCACUUGCUUAUCAAGCCUCCCAAAUUGCCAUGUCAACCUCUAACCUUUUCACCCUUCCUAGCAAACCGUUGUUUGGCUAUGUUACCGCUUUGCUUAGCCCCUCUUAUAGCGUUGCUAGUUGCAGGUGAAGAUGAAGUUUGUUCCAUGUUGGAACAUGGAUAUCAUGAACUUUGUUGGGAUAUCACAAUAUCUCUUAUUUAAUUAAUGCAUCUAUAUACUUGGUAAAGGGUGGAUGGCUCGGCCUUAUGCCUGGUGUUUUGUUCCACUCUUGCCGCCCUAGUUUCCAUCAUACCGGUGUUAUGUUCCUUGAUUUUGCGUCUCUUACGCGGUUGGGUGAUUUAUGGGACCCCCUUGACAGUUCGCUUUGAAUAAAAAAUUUCCAGCAAGGCCCAACCUUGGUUUUACAUUUGCCUCACCUAGCCUUUUUUCCCUUGAGAGUCGCGCAUCCCGAGGGUCAUCUUUAUUUUAACCCCCCCCCCCCGGGGCCAGCGCUUCUCUAAGUGUUGGCCCGAACCGGGCAGCCUGCGGGGCCACCUCGGGGCAACUUGAGGGCUGGUUUUACUCGUAGCUUGACCUAUUCGGUGUUGCCCUGAGAACGAGAUAUGUGCAGCUCCUAUCGGGAUUGUCGGCGCAUCGGGCGGCUUUGCUGGUCUUGUUUUACAAUUGUCGAAAUGUCUUGUAAACCGGGAUUCCGAGACUGAUCGGGUCUUCCCGGGAGAAGGAAUAUCCUUCGUUGACCGUGAGAGCUUAUAAUGGGCUAAGUUGGGACACCCCUGUAGGGUAUUAUCUUUCGAAAGUCGUGCCCGCGGUUAUGUGGCAGAUGGGAAUUUGUUAAUGUCCGGUUGUAGAGAACUUGACACUUGACUUAAUUAAAACGCAUCAACCGCGUGUGUAACCGUGAUGGUCUCUUUUCGGCGGAGUCCGGGAAGUGAACACGGUUUGUGGGUUAUGUUUGACGUAAGUAGAAGUUCAGGAUCACUUCUUGAUCAUUACUAGUUGACGACCGUUCCGUUGCUUCUCUUCUCACUCUUAUUUGCGUAUGUUAGCCACCAUACAUGCUUAGUCGCUGCUGCAACCUCACCACUUUGCCCCUUCCUUACCCAUUAAGCUUUGCUAGUCUUGAUACCCAUGAUAAUGGGAUUGCUGAGUCCUCGUGGCUUACAGAUUACUACAACAACAGUUGCAGGUACAGGUUAUGCGAUGAUCAUGACGCGAGAGCGAUUUUGCUUGUUUUGGAGUUCUUCUUUUGCUUCUUCUUCGAUCAGGGGAUAGGUUCCAGGUCGGCAGCCUGGGCUAGCAGGGUGGAUGUCGUUUGAGCUUCUGUUUGUGUUCCAUCCGUAGUCGGAUGUUGAUCUUAUGUAUGAAGUAUUGAUGUAUUCUUGCGGCAUUUGUAUGCCUUAUGUAUGUAUCCCCAUCUAUUAUGUAAUGUUGAUGUAAUGAUAUCCACCUUGCAAAAGCGUUUCAAUAUGCGGGUCUUUCCUUGGUGGGACCUUCGAGUUCCUCUCGGAUAGGGUCGCAUAUUGGGCGUGACAGUGUGUGUUAGAGAUAAGAGUCGAGUGGAUCAGAAGGCUGAGUUAUGUGUGUGGGUGUGAGAGAGACAGAGAGAGGGUGCAUGUGAGUGACAUACAAACGAAUAUUAGAGAGAAAUGAGAUCCCGAGAGACGGGGUUUGUGUUUGCGAGAGAAAGAUAUUUAAGAGGGAGAGUUGUAGCUACUGAGACAUAGGUGGCGGAGACAUCUAUGUGUGAGAGGGUGUGUGUGAGCGGCAUACAUGGGAAUAGUAGAGUGAAAUGAGACCCGGGAGACAAAGUUUGUGUUUGUGUGAGAGAAAGAGAUUUCACAAGGAGAAUCAUAGUUAGAGACACAUAGCAGUGAGCGAGAUAUACUUCAAGAGAGAUAUAGUGAAGGUCGAGGGAGAGAGUACGGUCAGUGUGUUACGAAGAUAAAAGACUGUUGUCGACAUACAAGUAGCACGAGAGAUACCCGAGAGAUGGUGAAGGUGUAUAGGUCUAGAAAGAUAUAUAAGCAUGAGUGAUAGCUAUAUGAGACGAAUAUCUGGAUUAAAGGGGAUUCAAAUAUUUAAACUAGAGAUCAGGACAUCGAUAAUAUCAUAACGAAAAUUGGUCUAUCAAGCAUGCAUAUUCAUUUGAGUUUGGGGACACAUGUAAUGUUAUUUAGUUUAUCAAUAUUAGUGAUUCAUAGAUUUUUUUAAUUAGAGGCAAUUGCAUGGUUUAUAAGCAAUUAAUGUCUAAACGGGAUCACACUAUAUGUUGCGUGUGUCAAACACAUUAUAUGUGUUUGAGAAGUAAAAAAACCGCAUGAAACACACAUUAAUUGGAGACAGUUAGCGAGGAUUUCAACAUAAAGUGGUUUCAAAUAUUUGAAAAGUCAAAUUAAGAUGGAUUCGGCCUUAUGAAUCUGAGAUCAUGCCAUUUGUAAAUCAUAUUUAUGUAUAAAAGGUGUUGUGCUUUUGAAAGUAUACAUAAAAAAUGAUGUAUAUAGAUUUGUAUUCGAAUACAAAAUGGAUCCUGCCCGGAAAACAAAAGAAUACACAAUGGAUUCGAAUUGAGUAGGACAGUAAAUGUGCAAUCUUUUUCUGCAAAAAUUUGAACGAAGCGGGGAAACUCGUAGUAACCGCCCGAAACAAAAAUCCGCGAGAUGGAAAUUACUACCUAUCCCUAACAUGCAAAGCCUGUCGGCUCGAUUUCUAGAGGUUUCAAAAGGGGUAGGCUUGUAAUUUCACUCAAACAUGACAUAACCGCCUCUGCCUCUCACCUCCCCGGAUUCAUACACGGUGGGCGUCAAAACACAGUUUCUCCUCGGCCGAAAUCACCUCUCACCCCGAUUCAUACACGGUGGGCGCCAAAAUAAACUCUCCUCGGCCGAAUCUCCAUCGGCAAAUAUUCGGUGUAUGCGAGAUUACCGUCCUAUCCCCAACCGACUAAUAUUGCUGUGAUGUAGGAAAUUUUAAAAGGGGGGCUAAAUUUGUAAAUUUCCUCGCAUUUGAGACAAGCGCGUCCUCAAGACAUGGUUCCCCUACCUCUCUUCCUCUGUUUCCCCAUUCGUACUCUAUGGGCGCCAAAACACCCCCUCCAACCUAGUCUCCUCCGUCUGCCACCCCAUCCACCACCGUCCUCCUCCACCAUGCCGGAGCUGAUACCCCGACGCCGUCGUCCAUUACAAGAGAUCGACCUCUCUCAUCCACGGCUUCAGACCAGGAUCCUUGCAUCACGUCUUCUUGCUUCAUCUGCGCCGUCGUCCACCUUGCCGAAGCCGCUCCUACGAACAUCUCGUCCACCGCGCCGGGAUAUUUCCCUCGCUGCCACCAUCUGCCCUCCUAGAUCUGCUUCCACGCCACCGAUGGCCAUCUUUACCGCGGCACCCUCAACGUCUCAGCAGAUGCUUACACGGCGCCACACCAGAGGCGGUACUCUUUCGUGUCUGCUCAAGUUACUUAUCUCAGCAAGAAAUUAGAUCGUCGCUGCUUUACUGUGAUUUCUUGUCCAUCACUUAGAAUCUUACUUGUUAGUUGAAACCAAACAUUGGUUGCGAAGUUGUCUUUGUCCGGUUUGCACCUUCAGAUCCGCCAUGGCACGCUCACCACUAUGCUCGCAAUGCUUAUGGUUUUCCCCUUUUAUAUUCCGCAUUAGCUUAAAUGACAGUUGGCUGAAUUUCAAUUUGGGUUAGUCCAUUUUUGGGAGUUCGCCGGAGGGAAGGAAGGGGCUCGCCAGAGGGCUGCCCCGUUAUCUAUCUUAGCGUUUCGGGUGGGGACAGUGGUUGUGGGGGGCGGUCGUCGGGCUAUGGUGGGGCCUCGCCGGAGGCAAAACUCGACGCGGGUGGGCGGGUAGGGGUGGGGUUGGCUAGAGGGAUGGCCGAGGGUGCCGGAAGACCGGAGGUGGUGGGCGGUUCAGCAGAGGGCGGGGGUCGGUGGUUCCGCCGGCGGCCCGUACGGUGGUCUGUAGGGGAAGAAUAAGAGGCGAGGAAGAAGAAGUAUUAGGAGAGAUAGGAUCUUCAUCCCACCGCCUGAAAUGGUCGACUGACCAAAAUGACGAAAGUCAGGCGACUUGCAUGUAGCCAUUCCCAUAUAUUCAGUACCAUCAUCGUAGGUGCUUCAAGAUGUGCAAGCAGUGCUCCUCAACCCAUCAAGCUAAACAAUAUGCCACUCAUAAUUCCAAACUUAGUUGCUCAAAUACGAAUCUGAUGUGGUCCUGACAUGUACUAAAACAGAGAAUGUUUAAUUGGUCAGCUAAUGUUCCUACUUUACUUCCAAAAAGCAUGUGCGCCACAUAUCGAGGGACAACAGGGAGUAGCAUUCUUUAUGCACUCUGGUUCAUCAUGUGUGGGCAACGAGCAUUUCAUUAUCCAAAUCUGCUUGCUCUUCUUUAGCAUGCUCCUCUUCUGCUCUUCUUUAAUAAGUACUCUCUCCAUUCCUAAAUAUAAGUCUUUGUAGAGAUUCCUCCAUGGACUACAUACGGAGCAAAAUGAGUGAAUCUACUCUCUAAAAUGCAUCUAUAUACAUCCGUAUGUGAUCCAUAGUGGAAUCUCUACAAAGACUUGUAUUUAGGAGUAUAACAGUAGUAUAGUAUGUUCCUUGUAGUGAGAGGAGCAGGGACAUUUGAAGUGUAUAGGUAUAUUCGGUCGCUUGUCAUGGACGCUUUCAACUCUUCGUGUUGGUCUGCCGUAAUAUCCAGUAAAUGCUGGUAGUUGCAUCGCCUUUGAGAGUUAGACUGAUAGUAACAGUAAUGUGCCUUCAGUUGUAGAGCGCUGGUAUCCGAAGCCUUUUUCUAGCCGUUCUGCCAAUACUAGCACAUAUUUUCGAGCAAGUUACACUUUCCUGAUUUUACUCGUGAUGCUUAGGGUUUUCCCAUUAUAUAUACACUAUGAUCUGUGUAGGUGCUUUGUGUCGUACUAGAAGCAGUCCACUCUUGAAGCUAAACAACACACCAAUCAUACGCCCAAAGCAUACUUCUUCAAAUAUGAAUGUGAUAUGAUACUGACAUUAGUUAACAGACACACAUUUAAUUGGUCAGCUAAUGCUCUCACUUGAGUUUCCAAAUGCAUGUGGCCACAUAUAGAGAGACAUCAUGGAAUGGCAUUUAUUUGGGCGCUCUAAUUCAUCAUGGGUGAGCAACCAACAUCGUAGAGAAAGAAGCGGAAUCUCAAUAAUAUACUUCCCCUUCUAUUUGUUAACAUGUUCCUCUUCUGUUCUUCUUUAGUAAGUACAAUAUGUUCUUUGUGAAGAAGGGGAGCAGGGACAUCUGCAGUCGACAGCUCUAUUGGGCCGCUUGUGCUACAUGAUUUCAGCACUUCUAGUUGGUCUGCCAUAAUAUCUAGGAAAUGGUGGGAGAUGUGCAGUCUUUGAUAGACUAGACUGAUAGUAACAGCAGUGCGCCUUCAGAUGAAUAGAGCUGGCAUGUAGGUGAUCGAUAGGCUUUAUAUUAGUAGCGGUAAUACAACCCCGUAUUUUCCAGCCAGUUCUGCUUUCCUGAUUUAUUUAUGAUUGUUAUGGUGUACCCCUUUUAUCUACACUCCAAUCUGCAUAGUGGCUGUGCGCACUCGUUAUCAUGGUUUGGCAAUAAACUUUCUAUACAGUAUAUUACGAACCUAUCAUCUUCCAACUAUCCUUACAUCUUCAGCUCCCAACAGGGAGCCUAUUUUUUGUGUAGUUGUGCCAGAUUAUAUUAAUCUACGCACCAUAUUACAACACACAUGGGCUAUCUCAUCAGAAUCCAGUGAUAGCACAAAGGGUUUACAGGGAGCCCCUGUUAUAUUAGAAUAUCCUAUGCAUUACAAAGAUAAUCUCACUACUAUUUAUGUUUUCAUGCUUCUCAGAUAUUGUAUGUAAUCACAAUGAAUAUAAGAAUGUGCACAUCAGAAGAAUAUUGCAGACCAGUUCAAUGGCUAACAAACUUGGCAUCAAAGGUUUGAGGUCCAAUCUGGAUGCAAUGAAACCCACAUGCUCCCGACCUAAGGAUUUGUAUUCAGCAUAUGAUCCUAAUGACUAUUCUGAUCUCAAGGAGUCAAAGGCAUAUGGCAUAUCAUGUUCACCCAAUAAGGUGCAUGUUCUAAUCUGGCAAGGUUUUAUUGGUUGCACGUAUCUUGCAUAAGGUGUUUUACAUUUCUUCUAUUUUAUUGCACCGCCAUCUGCUUGGUUUACUCAUGAUAUAUGUGAAGAUGCCAUGUCCAUCCAUUAUGAAUACCUAUUCCAUUUGUCAUCAUAAUUUUUUCAUUCAAAUGUUGUUCUUGUGUUUCAGACAUCCAAAGGAAGAGGGUGAUUGCAAAACCUAAGGGAGUACAAGAAAAGUCCUUGAAAAUGGUGGUGGUAUCGGAGAAAUCAGAUAGCACCCCACUUAUGGUGAUAGAACCAGCGUCGCAAAACCUAGGAUAUCGCAACUAUGUUGCUCGCUGCUUUGCUCUUGUUAGUACAUGUUGUCCUAUCGUUGUACUUACAUUCAUACCUGGUGGAUUAUGUGACAUCAUUGUGCAUUAUAGCUUGCUUAUCCGCUGUUCGCUCCAAAUUAUCAGAUCUAUAUUAAUGCUUACAUUAAUGUAGAAUAAACCCAAUGCUUAUGAAGAAGUUUGGCUCUGCAUUGUUCUUGUAAGUAUCUUUUUUCCUUCAUCACUAUACUUAUAUUGUCAGCUAGUUGCUCGUGUACACUUUGCAGCUUAUUCCCUUGCCCUCCAUUUUCUACACAUCACAUCUAUAUUUACUAUUGCCAAAAUAUUGAAUAAAACCAAUGCUACUGAAGAAGUUUAGCUCUGCAUUGCUCUUGUUAGUGCCUUUUGCAUGUAUGUUGUACUUACAUUUAUAGUCCGCAUCUUAGCUUUAAUAAUCGCCAUUUGUUCCUAUAUUAUCACAUCUAUAUUUACUCUUACCAAAAUGUAGAAUAAAGGCAAUGCUCUUGAAGAAGAGUAUGUGGUAAAGUUCUUAAAUUGCCCCCCCCCCAUCAAUAUGGACAAGGGCUUUAUAGAGCCGAUCUUCACUAUUAACGUAAGUUUGUCCUCCUCGAGCCUUCAAACUUUGUUGUGUAUAAUUUGAUAGCUAUGACUAUGAAUACUGUUUAUUUUUGUCAUAUGCAUCAAAUUGCAUGUUCAAAGUUUAUUACGAAGAAGUACAUAAACAUAAGUUUGUCCUUCUCAAUUUCAGUUUUUAGUUGCACAACCUAGUUCAUUAUUCAUACCAUGUAAAUUAAACUAAACAUAGCAAGUUAUCUUCUUUAGCACUACAAGUAUGCUUGUGUUCUUGACUGUAAGCUAGUGGUGUGGUGGAACUACCAACUCUAGCACAAUGUCAUAUCCCGCUAUGUCUUAACUAUGAACAAUGCCAUAUUAUGUUAAUGUUAUUUAAAUCAUGUCUCUUUAUUUACCAAUCUGAAAUGGUAUAAAUUGAUAGUACACUCACCAUUCAUGCUUAUACGUUGUUUAGCACUACAUGUAUGCCUGCGUUCUUGAUCUGUAAUCCAGUGGUGUGGUGAAGCUGGCCGCUCAUGCACAAUGUCAUUUUCUGCCGUCUUAACUAUGAACAAUGCCUAUUAUGUUAAUGCUAUUUUAAACCGUGUCUCUUUAUUUCUAACUAACAAAUGAGAUGAAUUGACAGCACUGAUGCUUAUACAUGCAAAACAUGUUAUCUACCUAGUUGUUUCUCUUUCAGGGUGACAUCACUGGUGCUAGGAAGAAUUGCACAAUGAUAGCUUGUCCCUCCAACAUAUAUUCCAGAGAAGAAGGCAACACAUCUUGAGGAUAGCGAUACAACCCCAAAGUCAUGUCUUGAUGUAGUGUCGAACUUACUCGCUAAUAGCAGCGACACAAGGUCGAUGAAGUCGCCACCUGAAUCUGUUCGACUUCUUCAAUCUGAAAUUCAAGCAGAAAGACAUGCUUCCGCUCAAAUCCGACUGGAACUCCAAUCUCUAUGCAAGAUUAACCAUAAGUAUAUGACGUCUAUUGAUGUUAUGCAGCUUGAGUUGGUGGAUAUAAGCAUCAAACAAGGGCAGUCUCAACAGGUUGCUAAGCUAAUUGCGCUGCAGCUCCUGAGUAGGGCUAACCUUUCUUGACUGUGUUGCAGUGUUAUCAGUUAUGUCUAUUAUUUUGUCGAUGUGUUUACUUCCACUGGUGGCAACCCGCCCAGUGUAUGGAAUAUGCUGUCUUGUUGCCUUUUAUUAUCACUGGCGGCGAACUUUGAUGCCCAGGGGAUGUAAUAUGCUGUAAUUUCUUUGUUGUAUAGUCUAGGUUUAUUCUCCGUCACGAUGUUGUAAUUUAUUUGUUGUAUAUGUUGUCUUCACUCUGAGAAAAAGGCGUAAUCUUUGAACGAAGCUCAAUUAGCCAAUACGUUAGGUUUAUAUAAAAAAUUGGUACUAAAACUAGCCGGCCGCCAAUCGCUAUGAAUGGGCCGAACCGUUGGCCUACAAUCAUCUUGGGCCUUUAGUUGGCCUAGACUUAAUCUGGCCCAUUAUUAAUUUUGGGCUUUAAAAUGUCGAGUAAACCGCUUGCCUUAAUUGGGCCAGAAAAUAAAAUGGGCUUUUAACAGGCUGAGAUGUAGAUUGAGCAUGAAUUGUGUUGAACAAAUCACGGGCCGACAACAGGCUGGAAUAUACAUCGGCCCAUUAUUGGCCCAGUGAUAUGACGGGCCAUUAACAGGCCAAAAUGUUGUUUGGCCUUGGUGGGGCCAAUUUCAAGAUGGGUUGGAACCAGGCCGAAUGCAUAGCGGGCUGAAAUUAGGCCCAACACUAUCAAGGGCCUUUAACGGGCCGACAGUCAGUUUGGGCUAAAAUGUAUCCAUGAAGGCUACGGGCCAUUCAGAGGCCGAAAGUCACUACGGACCAGAAUUAGGCCCAGAUGCAGCUCGGGCCUUUAAAUUGUCGAAAGUGAAACCGGGCCGAAAGAGUUCCAUAUGUACACAGGGCCGCUGACAGGCCGAAACUAAUAUUGGGCCAAACUGUUAAACGGGCCAUUAAGAGGUCGAAGAGCAAAGCAACCCCCCAACGGGCCCAAAGGCAGAGUAGCUGUUAAAGGGGCGUAUCUGUUAUGGGCCAUAAUUUGGCCCAAGAUAUGGAAGUUAGUUAACAGAUCAAAUCAAAUACGGGUCGUAAUUUGUCCCAAACUAUUGCAGGUUGUUAACGGGCCGGACCUGAUAUGGACUGUAAACUGGCCCAGAAUAUUGCAGGCUUUUAAUGGGCUGCAUCUGAUGUGGGCCAUAAUUUGGUCCAGAAAAUGAAUGGGCCGGCUCAUUAGAUUUGACAAAAUCUUGUGGGCCUUUUCCUGGACCGGCUUUUAAACCUAUAUGGGCCUCUAUUGGGUCGUCCCAUGUGUCAACGUUUCAUUGUCGACUCCUGUCCAGAGGACGGUUGACAUCUGUCACAACGAGGAGCUGACAUGUGGAUCCUCCGGUGAAUGAGAAUUUUACACAUGGAAAAUCCCCAUUGGUCAGGGCUGUUAACGGGUUAUCGAAUCCAAACUGGAACCCGAUAGCUUAAGGGAGACCCGCUAUAGUGGAUGCCACCUGUCGGUUAUCCUUCACGAAAACACUUCCAUGACGCGCAAUUUAUCGUCAUGGAAGUGGACACUUCUACCACAACGCAGGUAUAACUAUCUUAAUUCUGUCAUAAAAUCGUCAUGGAUGUACAUGCAUGACAGAAAAUGUGACCUACUAUGACAAACACGUAUCAUCACGGAAGUGUUUUUUGUAGUGUUAUUUGUGUGCAGGUACUGUUUACAUAGUAUUGCUUGGUUCUCCUACUGGAUUGAUAACCAUGGUUUCAUAACUGAGGAAAAUACUUACCGUUGUUGUGCUGCAUCAUCCUCUCCUCUUUGAGGAAAUACCAACGCAGAUACAAGCAAUCAACUAUUUCUUUAUGUUAAGAUUUAUGGAUGCAUUUAUGUUUGGUGUAUAGAUGCACAUUUGUCUCUAGUUGCUUGUUUACUUUUGGUCACUUUAGAUCAGUAGCUAGUAGAGGGAAGGUGUGUGUUAGUCCUAUUCAAUAUUACAGGUAAAUUAGCACAGUGAAAGAAAGUGAAAAAAAUGCAAUGUAUUGUUGCCAUUAAGUAUUAAUGUUUAUAGGAGGAAUAAAAUGAGUCAUAUAGACAAUAGUAUGCCAUCAUGAUCAAUGAAAUUAUCUGUGUUUAAACUCCAUGUCUGGACAGAGAAAAUCUUGACCUACAAAUGGAUUAUUAGCCAUAAGAUGCAGAGGGUAUCUCGGUCUAUUGAAUUUGUACAUACUACCUAUAAAGACAAAAACACAUCUCAUAUGUUUGGCAUGAGCAUGAAAUAUUCCAUUGUGCACUUUUUCACAUGACUUUGUUACUUACCGCACUUCCAUGUACUGGAGAGUUACACUUGGUGAAACUAUGAACCCUAGUCUAGUUUUUAGCAUAAGAAUGACCUUAUAGCAACUUUUACACACACUUUUAUUUUUAGUUUGUUUUAUUCCUAGAAUACAAAAAUAUACCACUUUAUCUUUCAAUUAUCUUGUGCAACUAGCAACACUUGCAGGGUUAACACACUUGUCAGAACUAUUGGGAAUACAGGUGAAGUUUUAUUUAUGUUGUAGACGUUACCAGUAUUGCAGGGUACAUCAGCACCACGGAUUGAUAACUUAGUUUCUCACUGAGAGAAAAACUGGUUGCUUGCUACAAACUCUUACACUGGGGAGAGACCCAGAAGCUUUUUCUGUAGGCUCUAGGCGCCCCCUUGGGAGCCCUGGGCCUUGGGGUGCCCCAAGGGGUUCCUAGUGCCCAUUGGCACCUCCAGGAUAACUGCAUGACACACCUAUUCAACAGAUGAUAUGCAGUACCUCUUGAUAGUAAGAUAUAAGUGAAGACCACAAAAUAAGUAGAGACACUGACUAGGAAUAAACUCCAAUUAGGAUACUCCGAAGCUUCUCUAUGCAACUUUCCUUUGAAUUGUUUUUAUCAUUUUUUGAUAGUUUUUCAUGAUACCUAUCGCCUUAACUUCAAACUAAAAAAUAAUCACUCAAGUUUGUGUUCGGAUGAGGGGUAAAUAAUCUCGGUCUGAAAAACUAUGAAGAACGGUGUUCUAGAACUUCGAAGGUCAAAAUAUCCCACUUAGAGGACGAUUUUAAGGGUCCAGAUUUGUUUCAACACUUGCUUUACUAUUUUUAGAUGUGGCUCAUCGAUAGCUUUGAAUUUAGUGGUUGAACAACCAAAACAUACUUCACAUGAAGAAGUUAAAAAAUGUAAACUCGUUGAUGGGUUCUAGUCUAGUCGAAUCCAAAAAAAUAUGCUUAUUUUCCUUUUUCGAAUCAAAACCAUUCAAAAUCGGAUGGGUUGAGGGAAGAUGCAAGCAACUUCAAAUAUCAUAAUUAUAGAGGGAGGUGGUGGCGAUGCGGUGGAAAUUGAUGGAUGUUGGUUGUCGACAGCGGAUUGGAUGAUGGUGCAGAGAUGUAGCGUGAACAGAACUCAGAACUCUAAAGGAUUAUACUCUAGAACCAUCAAUUCGACAUGAUGAUGCAGACGUAAAGUCAACGGUGCAAUGCACCACAAAGAAAAAUUGCGAUGAUUUAGACUGGCUUGGACAGGAUGAUCUAUUCCUAUUUGUUUUGGCUUUUUCGUGGACUAUAUGUUUGAAGAACAGAUGCAAUCAAUACUAGGGAAACUGAAAAAAUUAUCAAGGAACCGGGAACCUUAUACCACGUGAUAGGUACAGGUGGCAUGGUGUUUUGAUGAGUUAAUAUCAAUUUUUAAGAAACUUUGAUGAUCCGACUACAUCAGACACUCGACGACGCGCUAAAAGAACUCAAAUAUGGUUAUUGACGGUGUUCGAAACACGGUCAACCUUAUCAUGAAGAUCUACUCCUACAUGCAACUGAAGAACAUGCAAGAAUUUAAGAUAUGCAAUCUGAGUUCCAGAUAUAAGAUGAAAUAUUUGAUUAACACAGUGAGGUUUCAAUCACACAUGGUACAUGACUUGUGACGUGUCACCAACUCGUGUCUACAACAAAAAGUAGCAAACGCUAAAAUUGAAUGAAAAAACACAAGCCCUAAUUCCGCCGGUAUUUAUUGACGGACGAAGAGUAAUUCCGCCGGCCUUGGGAGGGGAUCAUAAAUCAAUCAUAAGUUUGAUUCCUCUGCUAAUACAGGCUCUAAAAACUACCUAUUGACUUGUAUUUCAAAAAAUACAUGGGUCGGGACAAAAGUGAGGUGGUGCAACAACUAUAGAUGGUCAUGGACGAAAUUGUGAAGUGUUAUCUUGUAUAUUUGGUCCAUGCCUUCAUGCGUCAUUAUGGCAGCCUAACUCCGAUUGAAACACCAUCUUUGUUCCAUGUAUGAUUGUUGCCAUCUCCAUGCUUGCUUGUGCAUGUCCCUCUUAUCCAUGCUAGGUCAUUCACUCCUCAUAAUACAAAUAUAUUUGAUUUAGGCACCAUCAUAUUCUCAUAAAUAUUAAAGCAAGAUCAUAAAACCGAGUUACCUGUUUUUUUAGUUGAUGUGCACGAACUCUGGUGAUUGUUCCUUAUCUUUCUGUUAUUUGAACAUGUGUGGCUCUAGGCACCGUGGAUGUAACUGAAUUAUGGAUGUUCACCCCCGAACCUUCAUAUAAUUCAUAUGUCAUCUUAGUCAUUGGUCAUGUGAGCCGCAUGCCGUAUCAACUUUGCUAGAGAUACCCCUAAAAAACCAAGCAGAAGAGCGGUGGGAGUGGAGGAUGUUAAAACAUGGCAUAUCAUGUUAAUUCGGUGUUUAAAUUGGGUACAUUGAUGAGAAAACCUCUAAAUUUGGUAUGUUUUCAUUCAUGCCAUCCUUGACUAGGUGGAAAUGAAAUUCGUUCUAUAUUUAUGGCCUAAAAUCCUGCAAUAUAUUGCAGGAUUCAAAGUUUAUAAAUACAUUUAGUAUUCACCUGUGUAAUUCUUUGGUAGUACUAAAUAUAUAUGAAUUAAAACCGUACGAUGUAUUUAUCGGAAAGAAAAAAUAAGUCCUUGAGCCUUCACCUUGUCGCACGACGCACGGUCCAUGUUCCAUAUAGCGUAGCGCAACAUGAAGAAUGUUAAAAGGAGACAAGAUAACGUACACUAGAGGCGCUCAGUCUUGGCAAUGGCUGCGCGACAGCGCCGUUGCAAGCGUGCGUAGCGUAGGCCUACCAGUCGGGAGGCGCUCGCUGCUAACUCCAUCCGCUGCACGUCAACCUUAACCAUUCCAUUGAAGCCCCGACAGGCGAGCAACAAAACCUUUCGACCCAAGCCACCCCACCCCGCCCCACCUCGGCCCGAGCCAGUUUUGCUUUCGUACCAACAAGUAAAAAUCCACGGCCAUGGCGGAUCCUGAACCGCAUCGCCCAUAAAAGGGACGCCAACCACUCUCUUUCUACGAACUCCAUCCUCCUCUCUCUCUCUCUGCCUUUCCUUGGCCUGGCCCAGCCUACUCUGCUCUACUCACUCCGGUCCCAACUGCCAAAUCCCCUCGCCCCUCUCUCUCUCUCCAACCAAAUUGCAAUUGGAGAGCUCUGAUCUCCUCCAUUAGUCCAUUUCCCGAGCAGAGCAGAGCAAGCGCAACAACUCCUUCUAGAGGUGGACGCGGUCGGCGCCAUUCAAUGCCAUGCACUGACACGGCACAGAUUACCGCCACCUCUUAACUCCCCUCUUUCUCCCUCCACUUCCCAAGCACAGAGGCGCGCGAGAACCCAUGCAUGCGCCCAUGCACAUAUCCACCGCCGCCGCCCGGAUGCAUACGUGCUCUCUUCCUGCGCUCCCCACAACUUGACGCCUAGUAGCGGCAAGAAGCGCAGAUGACGGGCGCACGAGUAAUGGCGCGGGCCGUGCGGCGCUUCUCGGUGAUUCCGGCCGCGUGGCUGCUGCUGCUGGUUCUGGUUUCACGUGUGGCGCCGGCGGCGGGUGAUGAUGGCGACGUGCUGUUGGAGGUGAAGAGCGCGUUCGCGGAAGACCCGGAGGGAGUUUUGGAGGGCUGGUCCGCCGAUGGCGGCGGCUCGUCCGACUUCUGUUCCUGGGCCGGCGUCACGUGCGACCCGGCGGGGCUCAGGGUGGCCGGCCUCAACCUGUCCGGCGCGGGGUUUGCCGGGCCGGUGCCCGGGACGCUCGCGCGGCUCGACGCGCUCGAGGUCAUCGACCUGUCGUCCAAUCGCCUCACGGGCCCCAUCCCGGCGGCUCUCGGGCGCCUCAGAAGGCUCCAGCUUCUCAUGCUCUACUCCAACCAGCUCGCCGGCGGGAUCCCGGCGUCGCUGGGCAGACUCGCCGCGCUCCAGGUGCUGCGCCUCGGCGACAACCUCGGCUUGUCGGGGUCAAUCCCCAAAGCGCUCGGGGAGCUGCGGAACCUCACCGUCAUCGGGCUCGCGUCGUGCAACCUCACCGGAGCGAUACCGGGGGGGCUUGGGAGGCUCGCUGCGCUCACGGCCUUGAACCUGCAAGAGAACUCCCUGUCCGGGCCGAUACCAGCGGACAUCGGCGCCAUGGCAAGCCUCGAGGCGCUUGCUCUCGCUGGGAAUCAACUCACCGGCGAGAUACCGCCGGAGCUUGGGAAGCUCUCCUAUCUCCAGAAGCUCAACCUCGGGAACAAUUCAUUGGAGGGCGCCAUACCGCCGGAGCUCGGAGCUCUGGGCGAGCUCCUGUACCUCAACCUCAUGAACAACCGCCUCUCUGGGCGCGUGCCGCGCGCUCUCGCCGCGCUCUCUCGCGUGCACACGAUUGACCUGUCCGGUAACAUGCUCACUGGUGGGCUCCCCGCCGAGCUCGGCCGGCUGCCGCAGCUCAACUUCCUUGUGCUCGCCGACAACCACCUCAGCGGCCGGCUUCCGGGCAACCUGUGCAGCGGCAGCAAUGAAGCAGAGUCAUCAAGUAGCCUCGAGCACCUCCUGCUCUCCACCAACAACUUCACCGGGGAGAUACCGGACGGGCUGUCGCGGUGCCGUGCGCUGACGCAGCUCGACCUGGCGAACAACAGUCUCUCUGGCGCCAUCCCGCCGGGCCUCGGCGAGCUCGGGAACCUGACGGGUCUGCUGCUCAACAACAACAGCCUCUCUGGCGAGCUGCCGCCGGAGAUCUUUAACCUCACUGAGCUCACUAGCCUUGCAUUGUACCACAAUCAGCUCACUGGCCAGCUGCCGGACGCCAUCGGCAAUCUUAAGAACCUCCAGGAACUGUACUUGUACGAGAACCAGUUCUCCGGCGAGAUACCGGAGAGCAUCGGGGAGUGCUCGAGCUUGCAGAUGAUCGACUUCUUUGGGAACCAGUUCAACGGGAGCAUACCGGCGUCCAUCGGGAAUCUGUCCGAGCUGAUCUUUCUUCACCUCCGGCAGAACGAGCUGUCGGGCCUGAUUCCGCCGGAGCUCGGCGAUUGCCAUCAGCUCCAGGUUCUUGACUUGGCGGACAAUGCUCUAUCCGGUGAAAUCCCGGCGACGUUUGAGAAGCUCGAAGCGCUCCAGCAGUUUAUGCUGUACAACAACUCGCUGUCCGGCGCAGUCCCGGAUGGCAUGUUCGAGUGCCGGAACAUCACGAGGGUGAACAUCGCGCACAACCGGCUCGGCGGCAGCCUCCUGCCGCUCUGCGGGACGGCGAGCCUGCUCUCGUUCGACGCCACCAACAACUCGUUCGAGGGCGGGAUCCCGGCGCAGCUCGGGCGGUCCUCGUCGCUCCAGCGCGUUCGCCUCGGGAGCAACGCCCUCUCCGGGCCGAUCCCGCCGUCGCUGGGCGGCAUCGCCGCGCUGACGCUGCUGGAUGUGUCGAACAAUGCGCUCACCGGCGUCAUCCCGGACGCGCUCUCGCGGUGCACGCAGCUCAGCCACAUCGUCCUCAACCACAACCGGCUGUCAGGCCCCGUGCCGGCCUGGCUGGGCACGCUGCCGCAGCUGGGCGAGCUGACGCUCUCCGCCAACGAAUUCACCGGCGCAUUGCCGGUCCAGCUCACCAAGUGCUCCAAGCUCCUGAAGCUGUCGAUCGACGGCAACCAGAUCAAUGGAACGGUGCCGCCUGAAAUCGGUAGGUUGGCUUCUCUCAACGUGCUGAAUCUGGCGCAGAACCAGCUCUCAGGUCCGGUACCGGCGACCGUGGCAAGACUGAGCAACCUGUAUGAGCUGAAUUUGUCGCAGAAUCAGCUGUCGGGCGCGAUUCCACCUGACAUCGGCAAGAUGCAAGAGUUGCAGAGCUUGCUGGAUUUGAGCAGCAACAAUCUGGUGGGCAUAAUCCCUGCAUCAAUUGGGUCUCUCUCCAAGCUGGAAGAUUUGAACCUCUCUCACAAUGCUCUGGUGGGAACAGUGCCGUCGCAGCUCGCCAGGAUGAGCAGUUUGGUGGAGCUGGACUUGUCUAGCAAUCGGCUGGAUGGUAGGCUGGGGGACGAGUUCUCCCGGUGGCCGCAGGACGCCUUCUCCGGCAAUGCUGCGCUCUGCGGCAGCCAUCUGAGAGGCUGCGGCAGCGGCGGGCGUGGCCGGUCCACGAUGCACUCCGCGUCGAUCGCGCUGGUGUCCGCGGCGGUGACACUGACGAUUGUGCUCCUGGUGAUUGUGCUUGUGCUGCUGGCAGUGCGGCGGCGCGGGCGGCACUCCGGGGAGGUGAACUGCACGGUGUUCUCGUCGAGCCAGGGCAACACGAACCGGCAGCUGAUUAUCAAGGGCUCGGCGCGGCGGGAGUUCCGGUGGGAUGCGAUCAUGGAGGCGACGGCGAACUUGAGCGACCAGUUCGCCGUCGGCUCCGGGGGCUCGGGGACGGUGUACAGGGCAGAGCUGCCCACCGGCGAGACGGUGGCCGUGAAGAGGUUCGUGCACAUGGACAGCGACAUGCUGCUGCAGGACAAGAGCUUCGCGAGGGAGGUGAAGAUCCUGGGCCGGGUCCGGCACCGCCACCUGGUGAAGCUCCUCGGGUUCGUCGGCCAAGGCGAGCAUGGCGGCAGCAUGCUCAUCUACGAGUACAUGGAGAACGGCAGCCUGUACGACUGGCUUCACGGCGGCGCCGGCGAGGGCAAGAAGCGGGUGCUGAGCUGGGACGCGCGGCUCAAGGUGGCGGCGGGCCUGGUGCAGGGCGUGGAGUACCUCCACCACGACUGCGUGCCGCGGGUGGUGCACAGGGACAUCAAAUCCAGCAACGUUCUCCUGGACGGCGACAUGGAGGCGCACCUCGGCGACUUCGGCCUGGCCAAGGCCAUCGCCGAGAACCGCAACGGCGGCAAGGAGUGCACCGAGUCAGCCUCUCUCUUCGCUGGAUCAUACGGCUACAUGGCACCAGGUACCUGACACUCAAAUGGUUGACUUGCACGCACCUUAUAUUUUGGAACACUGACACUCAAAUAGGUCUGCACAUAGGCCCCAGUCAUAUAUCAACUGCUGACCAUCUGCCUGCAUGUUCGUGCAGAGUGUGCUUACAGCCUCAAGGCGACGGAGAAGAGCGACGUCUACAGCACGGGCAUCGUGCUCAUGGAGCUCGUCACCGGCCUCCUGCCCACCGACAAGACCUUCCGCGGCGACAUGGACAUGGUGCGAUGGGUGCAGUCCCGGGUUGACGCACCGUCGCCGGGCAGGGACCAGGUGUUCGACCCGGCGCUCAAGCCGCUGGCGCCGCGCGAGGAGUCGUCGAUGGCGGAGGUCCUCUUGGUGGCGCUCCGGUGCACCAGGCCGGCGCCAGGGGAGAGGCCGACGGCGCGCCAGAUCUCUGAUCUGCUGCUCCACGUUACGCUCGACUACUACCGAGCCGGCGAGCAGAAGCGCUAGGAACUUCUUUUAUCAACUGUUUCUUGUUUCAUCUAAUUUGGGUUGGUUUUCUGGCAUGAAAAGAGGCAACAAAAGUUGGCGUUUAUUAUAUUAGGAAUAUGGUCACUGGAUCAGGGGAAGAAGAAUCCCCUUGGAUCGGAUUGGAUUGUUUAACUUUCAAUUUGACUGGGCUUGGAGAUUGUUUGUACAAGCGAUGCAAAUUUCUAAGAAAUAAAAAUAGUUCGAAAACAAAAAAUUUCAGUCAUCAUUCAGACCCCUGAGGAGCAUCCUGCAGAUUAAGUUCUGUCAGCGACCCCCAGAAGGAAGGAUGAGGUAGAUAAGUUGAUCAUUUGCUUUGCACAAUCAACAGGUACUAUAAGUCAUCAUUUGAACUUGAAUAACGAUGAUUCAGAGAAGGUAAUCAAUCAGAUUCAAGUACCAUAAAAAGGUCUCCCGUACAAGUACAACCCAAGUACUGUGAAACAUCAGUUUAUUACACUACCGCAGAUGAAAUGCGGAGCCAGUUUUUCUGACCAAAGCAAACUGCAAAAACCCUGGUAGCCGCCAAACAAAUUUGAAUAGCUAAUCGUCGUCUUCGUCUGUAGAAAAUUUGAACAAAAGUCUAUGAGCACAAGAAUAUCAAAUAGAGUAUCAUAUAAGUAGCUUUUGAUGUGCACAAAAUUCUCAAAUUACAUAGCAUAUGUUAGAUUACUUGCGCGCACUAUAAACCAUCGUACAAACAUUUAUUCAAUAUUCAGCAUUAUAACUGUUGGUAUCAAACAUAUUGAACUGCUCUGGUCAUUUCUACAGGAAGAGUUCAUACAGUCAGGCAGUUUUAAGAAGAAGAAAAACCAAAUCUCUUCAUACUGAUCUUCCAGGCCUACACUAAAAGUCAGAUGUCAUGGUUAUAACAUAUAAUUUUGUGUUUAAUUCCCGCCUUACCAGCACUAGAAGAUAAAGAAAGGCAAGAGUGGAGACAAGCAAAUGGAGAUGCCCUACACAUAUGUCAUGUGUAGUUCAGUAAAACUACAACUGGAGAUUGGUCAUAUCACGUGCAGCCAUCUCUCUCUCUCUUUCUCCCUCUUUGCUUUAGCACCAAGUCACUAAACAGUGUAUAACUUGAUAAAAAGGCAGUCACAAAAUCAAUCAAGUUUUGAUCUGAUAUGUUCACAGAUUUCUGUUUUAUUAUUACACCCUAACAUUUCCAGCAUAUUGCCUUGUUUCCGCAUAAUCUCCGUUUCUCGAUCCAUGAUUUUUCCCUCCAUAUCUGAAAUGAUAGGAGGGAAACUACCACCUAUCUGGUUGUUUUACCUCCAAAAAAGGUAAUGGCAAUAUUGAUUCUUGUUACGGUAUUCGCUUUGUGGGUACAUAUGAUAGGUAUUUCUUAUGUGCCGUGAGCCUCAUUACAGAGCAACGGCGGCACACGGCAUAUGGUGAUUCAUAGUAAAUUAUGCUCUAAAAAAUGUGAUGACUAUUAGUUCUUUAAUUGAAGUUUUAAAGUAGUCAAUAAUUUAAUAAAGACUGCAAAAAACAAUAGUCCAGUAAGAAUUAAAAUGCAUGCAAGGAGCAGAAAUAUUAAGCUUGAGAGUAGAAAUUAAGGACUAUCACAGGUGAUGGCAGAUAUAAUCAAGUUUUACGGCUUGAUUAAACAUAAGAAAAAAAGAAAACUGGAAAUAAAAUGGCUAACAUAUCAAUGAAGCAAAAUCUUCACCAAUACACAAUCAGGAGACAAGUUUAGUUCAAACUUGAAACUUGCAUAUAUGCAUGCUAACGCACUAGAUUAGAAUGAAAAUCGAGAUGGAAGGUAGCAGAGAGCAAAAUCCACACCUCUGCAAGGUACUAAUAGCCAGGGGAAUAGUAGUAAGGGUUAUGUUUGUGCGUGUUUUNNNNNNNNNNNNNNNNNNNNNNNNNNNNNNNNNNNNNNNNNNNNNNNNNNNNNNNNNNNNNNNNNNNNNNNNNNNNNNNNNNNNNNNNNNNNNNNNNNNNNNNNNNNNNNNNNNNNNNNNNNNNNNNNNNNNNNNNNNNNNNNNNNNNNNNNNNNNNNNNNNNNNNNNNNNNNNNNNNNNNNNNNNNNNNNNNNNNNNNNNNNNNNNNNNNNNNNNNNNNNNNNNNNNNNNNNNNNNNNNNNNNNNNNNNNNNNNNNNNNNNNNNNNNNNNNNNNNNNNNNNNNNNNNNNNNNNNNNNNNNNNNNNNNNNNNNNNNNNNNNNNNNNNNNNNNNNNNNNNNNNNNNNNNNNNNNNNNNNNNNNNNNNNNNNNNNNNNNNNNNAAUAUGAAAUAACGACUAUGCGCAGCAUGUCCUAUACAAGGACGAACAUAGGUAUAUCCCCAUCAGAAGAAAUGAAUUUAGGACUUAAAGUAAUGCACCGGGCUCCAUCUGGAUAAGUUUCCAAAAACCCUCGCCCUCUGUGGUUCGCGGCUAUCUACUAAAUUCAGGUGAAAACAGUGUAGCAGGUUGGGUGAAAUUGGAUUUCGACAGAGGAGGCCUAUAGUUUCAGGGAAAGUGAUCUGGAUGUUUCUCAGAAAGCUAGUUCAACCUACAUCCCGGAUGUCAUAUGAAAAAAUCCCAGAGUUUUGAAACCCUUCGAAUUCAUAUACCAUUCACAGUUUAAACAAGGGCAAGAGUGAAUUUUGCGAAUCUACCUCAUAAGCUACCAACUUUCAUUCGAAAAAUCAACACAAAAUGAAGAAAAGACCUCCAUGUUUAAUUAGUGAUAUGUGUAUGCCGCUCAGUCAUUCUGCAAAUCUAGUACCAUUACUGUGAGCAACACUGGUUGAAUCAAUAGUGCACAGUUUACCAAGCUGAUUGGUAAAAAGAUCACUAGUUCACCACAAUAGAUUUCAUGAAGGCAUAUAAAAGCUAUUACUGUGAUAACGUAACAAUUCUUCAAACAGCACUAAUCAUCCUAAGAGCCCCUUGACCAACAACAAUACUACUAGUAUAAGGUUUCCGUGACAGAAAAGUGAUGCCAUGGAUCCGUAUUGAAGAAUGUUUCGUAAUGGCAUAACUUUUGUGCAGAUAAACCAAAUAUCAUUUGCGCAAACAUUGGUCAAAGUUUACCAUAAAAUUGUGCGCGCGCCUCGGGACUUAUAAACAAUUAAACAUGGAAGGAGGGAGUAGCAUAUAAUCAGGAUUCCAAAAUGUUGGGAGCAAAUAAGCACAAACCAAAGUAGCGCUGCUCAUUGGCGUGUUUCGCACGCUCAAGCAUCUUGUCAAGGUCCACCUUGACCUUCUCAUCAAACUUCACCAGUUGGUUUACAAACACAACACCCAGACCCAUUCCCAGCACAUGCUCCCAGGGAUCUGAAACAAAAAGGGGAAUCACAUGAGAAGGAAUCAAACCUGCAACUAGAAUGUUACAAAGCCAGAUAAUAAAAGCAAGGAAAUGAGGGGAUCAGAACAAAAGGAACUAAUAUUUGGACAGUAUGUGUUCAGAAAUCAAGUCAAACAGUAAACACUGUAAUACUGCAACCGAAAAUUACGGGAACUUUCUACAGAAAAUCCAACCAUUCGGUCUUGCCAAGGCCAAGGUAGUGACUGAAUCCCAAUCUAUGAACCCACUAAACAUAAAUCAAGAACCACAUCCUAAAUCUACCGCUCUUACGGCCAACAAAGGCGCCCAAACCAACACAUACUUGCAGGCAUAUAAAGGGUUACAGAUCAGACGAAAUAAGGAACCGGGAGUGCGGAUGGAUGGCAGGAUGCAUCGUGAGGACAGAUCAAGAAAUCAACAAAGGAAAGGGGAAGGCGGAAAGGGAGGGAUGGAUGGGAAAGGGGCUAUACGGCGCAUGUAGGGGAGCUUCCGGAGGGCGUUGGAGUACAUCUGGGUGCCCAGCCCCAGCAGGGCACCGAUGAUGGUCGGCGUCGCCGGCAUGUCGCUGCGCUCUCCUCUCGGGGUGGACCGGACGGCGUGGUUCGGGUUCGGCGAUGCUGGAACAAGAGGAGAUGUGUACCUAUUACUGACUGAAUCUUGGUGGCUGGGGCAAAAGAGUGUGAGCGGAAAGAGAAGCCCAUGGGCCGCCUCAAUCCAGCAAGUUCGUGCACAAGAGGACACCUCUUUUCCUUCUACCCCUAAAACAAACCUCUUUCCCUUCUUUUUACCGGUAUAAGAGCAUCUCUAGCACAUCCCGCAACCCGCCGUCUCGCAAAAAAUCAUUUAAGGCAUCCCGAAAAUGAUUUUUGUAGGACGCCGGACGCGCAUCCAAAACAGAUCCUGCAACUAAUAUCGCAUAUUCAAACUUAGUUCGUACGGAAACAUAGAUCACUGGAGUUCAUCAAACAUAGCAUAAGACAGUUCAUCUACUAGAUAGCAUAGGGGAGGUCAAUACAAACCAAAAUUAAAACAUCUACCGAAACUAAACGGAAAGCAUACUACAUCUACAUCCACAUUUGGCAAAUCCGCCCCCCCUAAAAAUCCGUGAACGCGUCCGAACACAACCACGGACAGCGUAAAAUACCGUUGGACAGCUACGCUCCUCGUAUCUAAACCCUUAAAUCCACGCAUGUCCAUCAUAUAGCUCAAAUUUAUCACAAUUCAACAAUGCAACAAAGCAAACUAAAUCACAAUUCAACAAUCCAGACAUGCCAUAAUGAAAUUAAAUGUCCGGACCACGGCUGGCCGACGUGAUGAAUCACUUGUCGGACGCUAUCCGUGUCGCAUGCUCUAUCAUGGCUACCAUCCUUGUCUUGUCCGCUGCUUCGAUGGCCGCUCUCGUCGUCCCGUACUCAUUACGCGAGUUGAUCUCCUUCUUCUUUCCCUCAAGCCACUUCUUACCUUCCGCAUCCAAGAGACUUGCAUCCACCAACAUUAUUCUUGACUCGUCGAUGUCUCGAGCAAGUUGCAACCUCUCCUUCUCAAAAUCUAUUGAUCCAAAAAUCCGGGCCUUCUCGAUCUCCCAUUUGACACACGUCUAUUCCUUCUCCAGCUCUAUCUUCUCCCUCUUAAUUUGCAACUUGUGGUUCGCCCUCUCUCGGUCCCAAUCCAUUCUCUCUUUUUCGCAUUCAACAUGACUUUGUACAUCUCCUCUUUCUUCUCCUCCCUUGUAACGCCCACGAUGCGGCUAUAUCUCCCACGUGUCGAGGCACGACUUAGAGGCAUAACCGCAUUGUGGUAUUGUCGCAAGAAGGGUUAUCUUCACACAAUCCCAUGUAAUGAAACAAGGAUGGGAUAACGAGAGUUGGCUUACAAUCGCCACUUCACACAAUACAUAAAUAUAAUUCAUACAUCAUCCAAAAUCCACACAUAGACCGACUACGGUCAAAAUCCAAAUGAAAAUAGGAUAACCCCAAAUGCUAGAUCCCCGAUCGUCCCAACUGGGCUCCACUACUGAACAUCAGGAAAAGAAACAUAGUAACGACCACGUUCCUCGUCGAACUCCCACUUGAGCUCGGUUGCGUCAUCUGCACUGGCAUCGUCGGCACCUGCAACUGUUUUGGUAGAAUCUGUGAGUCACGAGGACUCAGCAAUCUCACACCCGCGAGAUCAAGACUAUUUAAGCUUAUAUGAAAGGAUGGUGUAAUGAGGUGGAGCUGCAGCAGGCACUAAGCAUAUAUGGUGGCUAACAUACGCAAAUGAGAGCGAGAAGAGAAGCAACGCAACGGUCGCGAAGCUAGAAAUGAUCAAGAAGUGAUCCUGAAACUACUUACGUUCAUGCAUAACUCAAACCGUGUUCAGUUCCCGGACUCCGCCGAGAAGAGACCAUCACGGCUACACACGCGGUUGAUGUAUUUUUAAUUAAGUCAAGUGACAAGUUCUCUACAACCGGACAUUAACAAAUUCCCAUCUGUCUCAUAACCGCGGGCACGGCUUUCGAAAGAUAAUACCCUGCAGGGGUGUCCCAACUUAGCCCAUUAUAAUCUCUCACGGUCAACGAAGGAUAAAACUUCUCCCAGGCAGACCCAAUCAGUCUCGGAAUCCCGGUUUACAAGACAUUUCGACAAUGGUAAAACAAGACCAGCAAAGCCACCCGAAUGUGCCGACAAAUCCCGAUAGGAGCUGCACAUAUCUCGUUCUCAGGGCACACCGGAUAAGUCAAGCUACGAGUAAAACCACACCUCGAGUUUCCCCGAGGUGGCCCCGCAGGCUGCUCGGUUCGGACCAACACUCGAAGGAGCACUGGCCCGGGGGGGUUAAAAUAAAGAUGACCCUCGGGCUCGCGAAAACCCAAGGGAAAAGGCUUAGGUGGCAAAUGGUAAAACCAAGGUUGGGCCUUGCUGGAGGAGUUUUAUUCAAGGCGAACUGUCAAGGGGGUCCCAUAAAUCACCCAACCGCAUAAGGAACGCAAACUCAAGGAACAUAAUACCGGUAUGACGGAAACUAGGGCGGCAAGAGUGAAAAAAAACACCAGGCAUAAGGCCGAGCCUUCCACCCUUUACCAAAUAUAUAGAUGCAUUAAUUAAAUAAGAGAUAUUGUGAUAUUCCAAAAUAUCCAUGUUCCAACAUGGAACCAACUUCAACUUCACCUGCAACUAGCAACGCUAUAAGAAGGGCUGGGAAAAAGCGGUAACUUAGCCAAACAAUGGUUUGCUAGGAAAGGAUGGUUAGAGGCUUGACAUGGCAAUUACGGGAGGCAUGAUAUAGCAAGUGGUAGGUAGCGCAGCAUGGCAACAGAACGAAUAACUAGCAAAGCAAAGAUAGAAGUGAUUUCGAGGGUAUGGUCAUCUUGCCUGCAAGGUUCUCAGAGUUGUCGAAAGCUUGAUCCUCGUAAGCGUACUCAACAGGUUCCUCGUUCACGAACUCGUCUCCCGGCUCUACCCACAGCAAGAACACAAGCAAUGGAACCACAAUCAAUCACGGGAAAUGCACAAGCAACAUGAUGCAAAACAUGUAUGAUAUGCGAGAUGUGGUAUGCGAUGCGUAUGCGUGCUCUGGAGGAAAAAGAAUGAACAAGGCAGUAACUUGGCAAACCAAGCAUGCCACUGGAAAGAUGAGAUGAUUUCGGUCAAAAUCAAUAUAAAGAUCACUGGAAACGGAUGCACGGUUUGCAAAUGGCAAGCAAAACAAGAAUGACACGAAUCUGUGAUUAACAGCAUGAUAGCACUUAGAAUACAUCAAGUAACUAUGCCAAAGCACUCCAACAUAGAAACAAAGCAUAUGGCGGUAAUCUAAAGAGAAUGCUUGACAAAAGAUGAACACUGAGCUACGGCUAGAUCACAACAUAACAGGUUCAAACAAGCAUGGCAAAAGUGCAAAAGAUAUCAGGAUCACAGACUUAGUGAAAUUACUGGACAUGACUGAAACAGCAUCAGGUAGCAAUGUUCAGAGCAAGAAAUCAACAUGCUACAGGAACUUAACAUGGCAAAACAAGGCAUGGCAUGCAUCUGCUAAAUGCAAAGAACAAAAGUCCCUUCCUGACCAUAAGACAAAAAGGACCAGAAGAUAUGAUGGCACCCAUAUAAACAUAGCAAGUUUCGUUAACAGGUUCCAGACUUGGCAGAAAACAGAGCAUGGCAGAAACAGUAUUAUGAAGGCAUCUUUGUGAGCUUGAUUCACUCACCACAAAGCAAUGCAUGACAAAACAAGCAUACCUACAGCAAGAUGUCAUGUUUAUGAAGCUAUCCAUGGAAAGAGAAAGUACAUAGCAUGUAUGUAACAACUACGACAACCUUGGCAAAAUUGAAUAUCAUGUUAACAAUCUGCCAGAAAUAUUUUAUAGCAAAAAUAGAGCAAGAUUAGGACAUGCUACGGCCCACCAUAAUCUCAAAAAGUGGCAUGGAUGGAUAGAGCACAACUGUAUCUAUAAAACAUCCUUACUGAUCAUCACCAAAAGGAGCACGGAUUUCUCUGUACCCACAUGGAUACGUAGCAACAAAAUAACAGCAGUCACAGACAGUAAAAUUACUAAGUCCCUGAAAUCAGAAACAUCACGAAGCCUAGGUUGCAUGCUUGUGCUAGUCACCACAGAGAUCACAAAAAUAUAUGGCAUACACCUCUGUAAAUAUGGCAUGGCAUACAUCAAAACACAUGUAGAGCUCAUGCCCAUACGAUGCACACAUCAAAUGCAACAAAAAUAACAAAUCCUCAAGUUCUGAUAAGUAACAGCAGGUAACAGCAUAUAUCACUCUUACACCAGAGAUUUGGGCGUGAAGAUGGACUCAAAUGAACAUGGCACAAUGGAACAAAAUGAAGAUCAUCUCGAGGCGAACAUUUCGAUAUAUUACACGCACGAAACGGACCUAUAUGCAGAGAGUUAUGAUGCAAUGAACGGGAGCAUAUAAUGUAAAAAUCCACGGGACUUGGCAGAAAAACAAGGGGAUCUCGGGGUCAACCUCCAGAUCCGAUCUGGCGCGUCCUUCGAGGUUCACCGGGGCGGCUCGCCGGAGCUCGGGGGGAGGACGAGGCCGGAGACGGAGAAGCUCGGGGAGGACGCCCGCGACCGGAGCUUGGGCGGAGGGCGUGGCGUCGGGGCACUCCGGCGCGGGGCGCGCGGUUCCCNNNNNNNNNNNNNNNNNNNNNNNNNNNNNNNNNNNNNNNNNNNNNNNNNNNNNNNNNNNNNNNNNNNNNNNNNNNNNNNNNNNNNNNNNNNNNNNNNNNNNNNNNNNNNNNNNNNNNNNNNNNNNNNNNNNNNNNNNNNNNNNNNNNNNNNNNNNNNNNNNNNNNNNNNNNNNNNNNNNNNNNNNNNNNNNNNNNNNNNNNNNNNNNNNNNNNNNNNNNNNNNNNNNNNNNNNNNNNNNNNNNNNNNNNNNNNNNNNNNNNNNNNNNNNNNNNNNNNNNNNNNNNNNNNNNNNNNNNNNNNNNNNNNNNNNNNNNNNNNNNNNNNNNNNNNNNNNNNNNNNNNNNNNNNNNNNCGCCGCGGAGGAGCGGAGACGGCGGCGACCGCGGGAGGGCUCGGGCGCCCGCGGGGCAGCGGCGGCGGCAUCCCGGGCCGGGGAGGGCCCCGCACGGGCCGAGCGGGCCGGCGGCGGCGCGGGGGCCACGUGGCGGCCUCCCGUUGGACGUGGCGGCGGCGGGGAUUUCGUCCGGCCGGACCGGACGUGUCUGGCGGCGCGGGAUGGAAGAAGACUAGGGUUAGGGUGGAAUUGAUCCGGAAUUUCGGAGGGGGAGGUGUUUUUAUAGGUAGAGGGAGCUAGGAGACUCCAAAUGGAGCACGUUUUUCGCCCACACGAUCGUGAUCGAACGACCUAGAGCAUGGAAGUGACUUAGAUGGGUUUUGGGCUGUUUAGAGGGGGGUUUUUGCUGCAACACACAAAAGGACUUUGCGGUUACCCGGUUAACCGUUGGAGCAUCAAACGACCUCCAAAUGGAAUGAAACUUGACAGGUGGUCUACCGGUGGUAUACCAAGGCCACUUGGCAAGCCUCGGUCCAUUCCAAGAAUGUUUAACACCCGCUCACGAAAAUAAAUAAGAGGGGUGCGCCGGUGCAUGUGGGAGUGCCGGAUUGCACAACGGACAACGGGGAAAAUGCUCGGAUGCAUGAGACGAACACGUAUGCAAAUGAGAUGCACAUGAUGACAUGAUAUGAGAUGCAUGACAUGAACAAAAUGCAAAACAAAAAAAAACCCGACCACGAAUGGAAUAUUAUAACACAUAGCCGAAAAUGGCAAGAGUCGGAGUUACAAAUAUGGAAAGUUACAACCGGGGUGUUACAUCCCUCGUGAAAAAAUGCUUGUCCAUGUGGUGCACAUUUUUGUCGCCGCAGCAUCACGGGUGACUCUGCCCUUCUCCCACUUGUUUCACAUCACUUGCCAGUUAUUCAUUGACACGGUAGCUCAUCCAUUCUCCCCAACAACUUCUUCCUCUUCGUCAUCCAAUACAAUGGAUUGAUUUGGAGCUUGAGCCAUCAAUUUCCUUCAACAUCUCGUUGCCGAUUUUGAGAUCCUUCAUAAGUUGUAUCCACUUUAGUUUGCCAUUCAAUUUAUCCAACGAUCGCGAAAAACCAAAUGGCUUAUUUUCAGUUUGUUGGUACAAAGUGGCCACCACCACCAUCAAUCAAACAAUAAAGUAAUCAUGAGAAUGUAACAUAAAAAACUAGGAAAGAAAAUUAUGGCAAAAUGAAGCAAUUCAACUUACAGGGCUUUUGACUACAAUCCCACAUUGAUUCUGUUAUAGCACGGAAGCAUAGUGGCCAACAAACAUAUUUACAUUGUUUUGGAUGGUGGACCAUCUAUGUUGGAGAGAGGUCACGUUCCGGGGUGGUAUUGAUAGGAUGCGGCUCCACAUAUUCCUUGUGUUCAUGAUAGUGCUUGUCGAUAUUCUCCCAAUACAUGUUGCCCUUUUGCUCUGUGACACAUAUAGGGUCCAUGCUUGUGGCCAACCAAGAUUCAACCAAUAAAAUAUCCUCAAAUGUUGUGAAUGUCAGACAUCUUGCCGUGGGUAUCUUUGCCUUCUUUUUCUUGGUAGUGCCUGAUGUUCCCCCAACAUCAAACAUAGGACAAUUUGGACCCCCAAGUCAUAUUCCAUAGGGUUCAUAAGCUCUUGACCCUCAUUGAUCAUGCCCAACAUCAUAUUGUCAUAAAAUGAUUAUGAUUCCAAAUAAACCAACGACAUAUGCAACUAAUUGGUGUAAUGACAUAUGCAACUAAUUGAUCUAAUGACAUAUGCAACUAAUUGAUAAAAUGACAUAGUGAAUAAUGAAUGAAGCGAUACGAAAUGGAUCAAAAAAGUAUUGUGUCCUGCUGCGACAUUUUGUGGAACAAGACCUGGACAGAGCGGGUGCCGGUGCUGCCCACUUGCCUGCACCCAUUUCAGUUGCGACGAGUCGCAUACCAUCUCUGCCACCUCCAUUUGUGUAAAUCUAUCCGAAAUCGCCCAUCCGGACGCCAGAUCAUCGUCGAUUGCGAGCGGAGCGGGUGGCGGCUUUCCCCGUUGGUGGCAGGCCAGAUGCGCGCGGGGCGACCGGGCGCAACAGAGGGGACACAUCCUCCUCGAUGUCCACAACCUCCUUAGCUGAAACUUCCUUCACCGCUGGCCCACUCGUGUUGCUUCCUUCUCUGCUCCCUCCGGGCAACGUUCUUCGCCUUACACCUCACCCCCACGGACGACACCAAUGCAUCAUCCAUGCUGGCAGUGGGGGACGGGGUACCCGAUGUUGACAUCUAGGGGGCGGCAUGGAUGGGGGAGGAAGGGUGGAGGAUGGCGACGGCUCGGACAGGGGAAAUGAAGGAUGAACGCAUGAGGAGGGAGGUGGAUGUGGUGGACUUGGUCAAUUUGGUGGAAUCUGAGGUGGUCCUGUUCUAUCUGAUUUGACAUGGCGGAUGCAUCGGGGUGUGUCCAGGCCGGCCCAUAUCUGUCGAAGAUAUGAGGGGUGUCGGUCUGUCCAAACGUACAUGGCCGAUUUUGAGGAGCCUAUCUAGGUCGCGAUUUUGUGACCGGUCACUGGCCUGACCGUCCGAUCGGACGUAUAGAGGGCAUUUGCGGAGCCCGACUGUGGCUACUCUAAGAGCAUCUUCAGUCAGACCCAUUUCCAAUACAAAGAAGCUAUUGAACACAUUGACCAUGAUUGUGUACUUAGCAAACAUCCAUAACUACUAAGAAUAACUAGAUGAUGCCCCAUGUGUUGAUGCGGGAAUCAUGUUAAAACAAAUGCAUUAAUAAGUGCUUAAAACAACUAAACUACACAAAUGUAAAAUUGCACUUAGUUUACAUUUUUUUAAACAAUAAAACAUGCAAUGUAUGUGAUAUAAUGAUGUAUAAAAAGAGAAAACAUUUUGAAUUAAACAUAAUGUAACACCAUCUUUUAACAAAAAUGUGGAACACGAACUAUAUACUUUUGCUCCAAGCGUCCAACACAUAUACCGUACAUGUCCACAUCUCUACUAUUAAAGGGUGAUCGAACGUCGUGAUGGUUCGACCUCGUUCGAUCCCCACCUCCCUUCUACGACAACCAUUUGUGGGAUGGGCCACGCCCGCAGAAAAAAAUCGAUGAUAGAAAAACCUCGCGAUCUAUAGAAGCGAAAACCAGAAGAAAAAACCCCGCACGUCCUCCACUUCUCCCACGAUCUCCAUCCACAGAUCUCUCUCCUGAGUCCCGAACCACCCAGCCGGCAACCCUGCACUCUCCCUCUCAUGCGUCGCGUAUCUCAUCUAGGCCUUGAUCUCAACCUGCCCUCUCCAUUGUUGGUGGCUCGUGUGGAUGGUUGCGGGCGUCAUGCGAGCGGAAGAGCGCCCUUCGAGGUGGUGGCAGUAUCGGCCUUGUCCUGGGAGGAUAGGUCUUUCUUGGAAGAUGACCUCGAUGACGGCCCAGCACGUGGUGUCGUGAUCUCGCAGGAGUGUGUGUCAAUAGCAUCAGCGGCUCGGGGGUAGCUGGACCGCGCAGCAGUCGAUCAGGGCGGCGAUGAUGGCCUCGUCCUGGGACAUCGACCGAUCUGGCAGUGGGAUCAUGGGCCAUCUGUGACACCCAAAAUUUUAUUUGGCUUUUUCAAAACUUUUUCUUGUUUUGAGGGAAGUGAUUUGAAUUUUUCUUAUAAAAGAACUUUCCCUCUCAACAUAUUUUCUUUUGUGACUAGUACUUCAUUUUUGGUUUCACUCAAAACUUGAUUUUGGUCUUGAGGGUUUUAUUUAUUUUGGACUCAAACCAAAAUGUUUUUCUCUUGGAAAAAUGCCUUUUGAAAAUUUCUUUGAAAAAGGCCCUAGAGCUUUUGGAAAGAUCCUUUGCCACUUUCAAAAAUUCCUCUUGCCAUGGCCCAAGGGUAAAUUCCCUCCCUUAAACCUCUCCUCACCUUUGGAUCAUGACUUACUUCAAAUCCAGCAAGUUGAACCUCCCCAUGUGAUUAUUUUCCAUUUAAAUCUUAUCAAAACAAUUUCUGUCUCCUAUUCUAGCCCUUGGAGAUUUACAAAGGAGCUACCUUUUCUGUUUUGAUUUUUGCCCCCAAACCUUUUUCCCUUCCUAGUCCUUUGAACCCUCAACCAAGAUCCAUGAAGAUCCACUGGUCUUCGGUUCAAAUUUUUCAAACUAUACUUGCUGCAAGUUUGGACCAGAUUUGUCAAAUUUGGUGAAAUUCAUUCAAAUCCUUCUCCAUAAAUUCUGAGAAAAAUCAGGCAGCCUCUGGGUGCAUUGAGAGGUCACCUCACCAAGUCCCAGCUCCAGGAAAAUUUUUCUGCAUGCCAAAUCAUUCUGUCGAACACCUGCAGGGCAUUGUCAAUGUCAAGUUCAGUAAAUUCAGAGUGCAGUUCAGAAGCUGCUGUCGUUUUCUUCAGAACAUCUCCUCGAUCUCGCCAGUAAGCGCGUUGGCACCUUGCUCCCCGUCCCCUCCCCCUUGUCCCUGCACCGCACGAACGCCUGGACGCUUGCGGGCGUCGGCGAUGAGUUGGAGGAGGUGCGCCGCCCCGUGACCGACGCCAGCGGCGGCUUUGCGGCCGCCAGAGAGAGGCGCGGCGCAGACGGCGCCACCCAGCGCCGCCCAAGUCACCGGAGAUCGUCGCGUGGCCGCCCACUCCCCAGAACGCGCUGCCACUCUCCUCGUGAACCGCUGGGCGCGGAGCGCGCUCUCUGCCGCCGUCGAGCCCGUGCGGCCACCCACCAUGGACCAGCGCCAUUACGCCAAGACCGACCAGGAUUAGCGGGGGAACGGCACCAGUACACCUCACUGAUGCUGCCUGGCCACUCAAACCCCCUGCUCAACCACUGCCUCGCCGUAAUCGCUCGCCGGAGCAACCCCGUUCACGGCCACCCCCUCGAUCCGCCUAUAAAUAGAGGCCCCGAGCUUCAACUCGAACCCACACCAUCUCUGCACUCCACCUAGACCGCGCCAAGCUACUGGAAGAGCCCCGAGGGAGCUUUCUUCCCCAGCUCCGGCCGCCGCGACCUGCCACGGGAUCCAGCUCGAUUCGCUCCCGUGCGUGCACCUCUGCCUCCCAUCUCUUGCCAGUAGCUCUCUAGUGCAUCCCUCUUUCUGACCCGCGCUUCAAUUCGAGGUUUGCAGCACCCACCGGAGUUCUCCACCAUCGCCCGAGCCGCCGUCCGCCGGAGAAAGUGUCGCCGUCGACGUGGUGCUCUCCGACGGUCGAGACCACCACCCACCAACGCGGAAGGACACGCUGAAGCUCUUGGUACACUCCGAUCUCCCUAUCUCGCCAUGGUUCGACGCCGGCGACCACCGCAGUCUUCGGGCGCCGGCGAGCUUUUUAAACCUGACAUGUGGACCCCCCCUGUCAGCCUCUAUUCUCCUCUCCCUCGAAACGUUUUCUGUUGGCGCCUUCGGGCAAAUACGUCUUCCUUUUGAGCUGGCGCGUUUCUUUCCGAAGCGUUUUCUGUUUUCUCAGUUAAACCCCUGGAACUUUUCUGUUUCAUUACAGACGAGUCCCUGGACAGAAACCUUUAUAACUUUUUAAUAAAAAGUGAUUUUUGAGUGAUUCUUUUUUUGUCAGUCUUGUAUUUUUGUCUAGUUUUUUAUAGUAUUUAUUUGGAAAAAAUUUGGAGAAGUUUUUAUGCACGCGUUGGUUUUCACGUUAGUGCCCGUUUUCGUUAUGCCGUAGGUUCCGGAAGAGGUGACGGAGCCGCGAAAUUCGCCGAGCUAGACUCCGACUUCUCCGAACCAGGCAAGCAUGUUUGAACCUUUGAUAUGAUAGGUGUUUUUACAUGUUUGCGUGAGAGGUUGUGCGUGGCAUAUGAGUAUCGGUGAGUACCUCGUUGCUUGUGAAGCAACUACCCGCAUGUUCCAAAGUUGCGAUGAUCUCUGGUGAGAGAUGGCCUAAUCAUGUGGUGACAUGAAGGGCAGCAAGGUGGUACUAUUGUAGCAUACCAGCCUUGCGUCAUCCGACAAAUUCCGACGUUAACGUGGACGGAGUCACGUUAUCGUUCUUCCACCUUCUGUGCUACCACAUGUUUUCUGCCAGAAUGCGGUUUAGUAAGUUGGUAACCUCUUUCCGUGUACACACCAAACAGAGGGGCCGGGAUGAUGGUUCCAUGGCCCUGGAUUAAAGCCAGUCAUCCGGUCAGGGGGCAUGGGUGUUUCCGGUUGGGACCUUGAGGGGGGCACCCCUUAGAGCGCGCGUAUAGAAAUUUGAUCCCAUGCUACGCGAGGUUGUAGCCUCCCCGUCUCAAGGUUUUUCUUGAACGUUGCCGAGGGUGAUCCCUGGCUUCGGAAUGUUGAAUGGGUGUGUACUGGUUAGACGUGUUUCUUCCAAAACACCGUAAACGGAACUAGUCCCCGUGACUACUGAAAUCCGUUGGCUGUGGUUAAAGUACAAACUCUGCAGAGUCAAAUCCUUCCGAGUCAUCGUAUCCAUAGUCAAGUAUCGUGAUCAGCGUAUCCAUGUCUAUGUCGUAACCUCGUGGUAUAUCCUUCGUUUCGGUAAGUAAGCUUGAGUAGUAGACUUGGCGGAACGUUACUCCUGUGGAUGGACUAACCCUGUUGUUUAUCUCAUGUCUGAUUAUUCUCGUGAUAUGAUUUAAAAAUUCAUGAGCUACUAAGUUACGAAAAUAAGCCCUUUAUGUGAUGUCGCUCAGACGUCCGACUGUGGCACGUUUGUCUCUUACUUUCAAUAUAAGCCCUGUAUGUGAUGUCGCUCAGACGUUCGACUGUGGCACGCACUGCCUUCAUUUUCUGUUAUAAGCCCUUUAUGUGGUGUCGCCCCGACGCCCGACUGUGGCAUUAUUAUCCUUGCAGUUUCCUCUCGAGGAGUCAUUCAGACCCUCGUUUGGCACCAGUAUUACUAUUCUUGCAGUUUCCUCUCGAGGAGUCAUUCAGACCCUCGUUUGGCACCCAGUAUUUACUUUGGGAUUUCGGGAGGACUACCGCCCGACUUCUCUGUUAUUUUCCCAUGCAUUAUUGUCUCUAUGUCUGAACGCACUUGUUAUUCCAUCCUUACGCUUCAUGUUUACAUUUGUUAUAUCUUAUGUCCGAACUGUCUUGCGAGUACUUUCAUAGUACUCACCUGGCUUGUUGAUUUGGCCAGAUGUUGACGAAGGCGAUCUCUUGGAUGAAGAAUGUGAUAGUGCGUCCGACGCCUAGAGGAGUCCCAGUCAGUCCUGUGCGAUCCCGGAUAUUGGUCACUUGUAUUAUAUACGCUUCCACCACCCGCAAUAAGUCUCCUCGAGCCUCACUCCGACGCUCGAAGAGCUGUAGUUUUCAGGAGUCAUAUCACCCACUUCGCGGUGAUAUUUCCACCAUCGUUGUUAUCGUGAGUUAGUAGUUAUGCCACCCUAUCCGCCGUUAUGUUUUAUCGGCAUUCAUGUAGUAAAUUGUUGAGCAGUCCCCGCUCAACCUUGUAUUAUAUUUAGUACUCCUGGUAUUUUUCUUCUGUGACCAAGAUAUUGUCUACCAGUGAGAAGGAAUUCUUCUUUACUGGUCCGUAAAAGGGAUUGGUCUCUCAAUAAAUAUUUUAUUGAAAAACCGGUCGUGACAAGCUUGGUAUCAGAGCCAGGCUGACUGUAGGAAGCCACUAGGUGCGAUCGCUAAUCGGUUAUUAGCAUCUUUUGUGCUUUUUCAGCAUUUUGCAAUUGUAGCUAUUUUCUGUUAGUCAUCAUAAAUUUAUGACAUGACUACUCAGAAUUUUUGCCUACUUUUGUAGAUGGCUGGCAGCAGCUGCGAGACUCGAGUGUUCACGAACGUGCCCAAGGGGUUUGUCAAACUCCUCGUCUCCAUCACCAAGCUCGCGAUCGGGCCAUCGACUCGCCCGGAGUUCACGCUUUACCAGCACAAGCUUAGCGACGACGUGUCUAUGCACCAAGCUGUGGUGCAAUUCAAGGGAGGACGUUCUGCAGCUCGCCACUUCCGUUUUGUGGGAAGGGCCAUGCCUACGGAGAGGCAUGUCAUGCAGAUGGCUGCCCGUGAGGCGAUAGCUCGUCUUCGGGACAUCCUUCCUAUGAUGAAGACUCGCCGCUACCGCUACCUCCCAUGCCACGUGCCAUAUACCAGUCACUAUGCAUUCGCCUGCCAUCGGGGAGAACGAGAUGAAGCCAUCGAGAUGGUUGUGGAGUAUCUCAAGGCUCUGGAGGAGACUUUCGACAACCUCGUGGACGAUCUUGUGGCUGCCCGCAUGGACUUAGUCCGGGGCGGUCCUGCCAGCAGGAAGGAGCUUCUUCACACAGCACCGCCUCUGACAUUCGUUUCGUCCUCAGCAUCUUAUGCACCGGCCGUUUUGGCCACUGCUCGCCGUCUGCCUACCACUGAGGAGUUCGACAGAGUCAUCGCUCCUAUUCCAGUCAGAGCUGCACCGCCUACCACUCCCGCACUACCGCCAGUCGCCCCCGCGCCAUCACGGCAGCGCAGCGUUACGCGCCAGGAGCCUGCUAGAGAGGAGGUGGAGGUUGAAUCUCCUGGACCGCUGAGUCUUGCCCUCGGCAAGGGGAAGGACAUCGUCACCAUCUCCGACUGAGAGCGCCGAGUAGCCGCGCGUUAUGUCUGUUUGUAUGAUGUGUUUUAUCUGUACGCUAGUUUAUUAGUGUGUUCGCUGCUUUCCGGAGGAGUACGCUAGUCUAAAUAACAUGUCAGGAUUGUGUACGCACAUCCUGAGUGCUGUAUCGUGUGUUUGCUUUUCGCGUGUAAGAUAUAUGCUAAGCAGUUCUUCUCCGUGUAAAAUCGUUUAUGUUUUCUUAAAAACCUUGAGGUCUUUUAAAUUGUUGCCUUUGCAAGAUUUUCGUUGUGCUACACAGUUCUUCUCAUGGGUUUUGCAAAAUACUACCCCAGACUGGAAAAAUGUCUCGCCCGUGGACUCGCUCCAUGCCCAAUCAGCCAGAAGAAGUUUAUGGGACACAGACUAGCAACAACUUCACUCAGGGACAGUCCAGUCAACAAGACAGCGAAGCAGCCUUGUCUCAAGUAUGCCGUCUCUUCGAACAAAGCCAGCAACAGCACCAAGAGAUGAUGAAUCACGUCAUCAAUAUGGGAAACCACCGUGAACCGUAUCAACCUCAUUCCAAGUUAUCUGAGUUACAGAAGACUCGCCCUUCAACGUUUGCUCACACUGAUAAGCCGCUGGAAGCCGAUGAUUGGCUUCGUGACAUCGAAAGGAAGCUGAUUAUUGCUCAGUGUUCAGAUCAUGAGAAGGUGCUUUAUGCACCACACUACCUUACUGGAGCAGCUGCAGCAUGGUGGGAAAACUUCCUACACAUGCAUCCCAGUGAACACAACAUCACCUGGGAAGAGUUCAAGGAAGGCUUUCGUGGGGCACAUAUCCCCAGGAGCAUCAUAAAAAUCAAGAAGAGAGAAUUUGACGACCUCAAGCAAAGAGGCAUGUCAGUGACAGAAUACAACGGUCAGUUUGCCCAGCUAUCUCGUUACGCCUACGACGAACAUAUGACAGAGAGCAAGAAGAUGGAAAAAUUCCUGGACGGCCUGGCACCGGCACUGAAAUGCCAAUUGGUUGUACACACUUUCCUGGAUUUUAAAAGUCUGGUUGACAAGGCCAUUACCUUGGAGAAUGAGCGCCGUAGUCUGGAAGAUAUCCGUAAGCGAAAGAGGGACAAGACGGCUCUUGCUCGCAACAACCAAAGCAAGACUGAGGUUCCAAGGACAGAAGCAAGGAAAUCCACGACUACUGAUCUAAGGCCCGCCAGACAGUUUCAUGCCAGGGACAAGGAGUUCACGUACCGUCCAGGGGUCACCUGCUAUGCUUGUGGUGAAGAAGGGCACUAUGCUAAACAAUGCCCAAAGCCGAGGAACUCGGCCCCCAAGCCAAACAAUGGUGGAAACAAUCCAGCCCCCAAGCGCAACAAUUUCAAUCCCAACAACAACCACAGGAAGGGUCACCUGAACCAUGUGACCAGGGAAGAAGCGCAGAAUGCCCCAGACAUCGUGCUCGGUACGUUCCCUGUCAACACAGUACCUGCCACGGUUUUGUUUGAUUCUGGAGCUUCCCAUUCGUUCGUUUCGAAGAGUUUUGUUUUGCAACAUGGUUUUCCGAUACUUCCCUUGGAAAAAUCUAUGAUCAUCAAGUCCCCCGGAAAUAAGCAAAUCGCUUAGAGCUACUGCCAAGGAGUAAUCAUUGAGUUCGAAGGACUACAGUUCCAAGCAAAUCUUAUCGUGUUGGAAAAUAAAGGACUGGAUGUCAUUUUAGGGAUGGACUGGUUGACCACCAACAAAGGAUUCAUUGACUGUUUCAAUCGGACCGUGAUUCUCACUCACCAUCAUGGCAAGAAAAUUAAGGUUACAGCUCAAGAAAGGCCACGGUCACGGCAACCAAAACGAAACAAAGUGGACAUUUCAGAACUGAGAAAAGUUCCAGUGGUAUGCGAAUUUCCUGAUGUGUUCCCUGAAGAACUGCCAGGCAUGCCACCAGACCGAGAGAUAGAAUUCAGCAUCGAACUAGCACCUGGCACCGCUCCCAUCUAUAAGAAACCUUAUAGAAUGGCACCCUCAGAAUUGGUGGAGUUGAAGAAGCAGAUAAAGGAAUUAUUGGACAAAGGAUUUAUUCGAGCCAGCUCCUCACCAUGGGGUUCGCCAGUUUUAUUCGCCAAGAAAAAGGAUGGGACACUGAGACUGUGUAUAGACUAUCGAGCCCUCAAUAUGGUCACCAUCAAAAACAAAUAUCCGAUGCCACGGAUAAAUGAUUUGUUUGACCAGCUCGCACAAGCCAAGGUGUUCUCAAAAAUUGAUUUGAGAUCGGGAUAUCAUCAAUUGAAAGUACGGACAGAGGAUAUCCCUAAAACAGCAUUCACCUCCAGAUACGGACUAUAUGAAUUCACAGUGAUGCCUUUUGGUCUAACAAACGCCCCCGCAUAUUUCGUCCACCUCAUGAACAAAGUGUUCAUGAAAUUCAUGGACAAAUUUGUUGUGGUGUUCAUCGACGAUAUUCUGGUAUACUCGAGGACACCGGAAGAGCAUGCUGAGCAUCUCAGAAUUGUUUUGGGAGAAUUAAGGAAACAUCAGUUGUACGCCAAGUUUAGCAAGUGUGAAUUUUGGCUAAGGCAGGUUGGUUUCCUAGGCCAUAUAUUGAACCAAGAGGGCGUGGCUGUAGACCCGGAAAAAGUCAAAGCCAUACUUGACUGGAAGCCACCCGCCAACAUUACAGAUGUGCGAAGUUUCCUGGGAAUGGCCGGAUAUUACAGAAGAUUUAUUGAAGGAUUCUCCACUGUGGCAAAACCAAUAACAUAGUUGCUCAAGAAAGACAAGAAAUUUGUAUGGACGGAAGCGUGCAAGAAAAGCUUCCAAGAACUCAAGAAGAAGUUAACAACCGCACCAGUAUUAACCGUGCCAGACAUACACAAGAGUUUUGAAGUAUAUUGUGACGCGUCCCGAAAAGGCCUCGGAUGUGUACUAAUGCAGGAUGGCAAAGUUGUCGCGUAUGCCUCCAGGCAGCUGCGAAAACAUGAGGAAAAUUACCCAACACAUGACUUGGAGCUAGCAGCAGUCAUACAUGCACUCAAGGGGUGGAGGCACUUUCUGUUGGGAAAUUGCUGUGAAAUAUAUACGGACCAUAAGAGCCUCAAAUAUAUUUUCACACAGCCAGAGCUAAAUUUACGCCAACGACGCUGGUUGGAAUUGGUCAAGGACUAUGAUGUCGGCAUUCACUACCAUCUAGAGAAAGCAAAUGUAGUGGCUGAUGCCCUUAGUCGAAACCCCAGCCCGGACAACGACGGUCCGCAAAACUUGAGGCCUGAGUUUCAGCAAGAGUUCGCUAGGCUCAACAUGAUGUUAGUCUCUGAGGGCACCGUAUCAAAUCUGGAGAUACAACCCACCCUAGUGGAAAAAAUUAAGAAGGCUCAACAGGGACAUCCCAGCAUCGAAGGUAUAAAGAAGAAAAUGAACCUUGGUAAGGCUUCAGAGUUCGUCACAGACAGUGAAGGAAUAUUAUGGUACGGAGACAGACUUUGCGUACCUAACAUUGAGGAACUCAAGCAACAAAUCCUAACCGAAAGCCACACCGCUUCAUACUCGAUCCAUCCUGGAGGAACCAAAAUGUACAAAGACAUUCAGGAAAGAUUUUGGUGGCACGGUAUGAAAAGGGAUAUAGCCGCAUUUAUUGCUUGUUGCGAUUCAUGUCAGCGCAUCAAGGCCGAGCAUCAAAAGCCAGCAGGGCUACUCCAGCCAAACAGGAUACCGGAGUGGAAAUGGGAUGAAAUAGGAAUGGACUUCAUCGUCGGACUACCACGAUCACAACGCGGAAAUGAUGCCAUAUGGGUCAUCACAGACCGACUAACCAAGGUUGCUCAUUUCAUUCCCGUGAAGACUACCUACUCCACACAGAGACUGGCCAAACUUUAUCUCUCCCGUAUAGUUUGUUUGCAUGGACUCCCAAAGACUAUAAUAUCCGACCGAGGCACACAAUUUGUCUCCAAAUUUUGGGAUCACCUACAACAAGCUCUAGGCACGCAGCUAGCUUUCAGUACAGCGUACCACCCUCAGACUGAUGGACAAACGGAACGUGUAAACCAAAUCCUAGAGGAUAUGCUGAGGGCCUGUGUGCUCACCUAUGGAUCCAGUUGGGAAGAAAGUUUGCCGUAUGCCGAGUUUGCUUACAACAACAGUUACCAAGCCAGCUUGCAAAUGGCACCCUUUGAAGCAUUGUACGGACGGAGGUGUCGUACCCCGCUGAAUUGGUCGGAAACAGGUGACAGCCGUAUCUUCGGCCCAGACAUGCUUAAAGAGGCCAAGGAGAAAGUUAAGCAGAUCAGGGACAGACUCAAGACAGCGCAGAGGCUACUACGAUCAAAAACAUCGUGAAGUCAGCUUUGAACCCGUGAUUCCGUAUACCUACGAGUGUCUCCUAUGAGGGGCAUGCAACGGUUCAAAAUUAAGGGGAAGCUAGCCCCGAGAUUUAUUGAACCAUUCCGUAUAGUCGCACGAAGAGGCACAGUAGCCUACAAACUAGACCUACCUAAGGAGCUGUCAGACGUCCAUGACGUGUUCCACGUCUCUCAACUGAGAAAAUGUGUAAGUAACCCGGAGAAGCAUGUACCUCAUGAAAACAUUGAUGUGCAACCAGACCUCACCUACAGGGAGAGGCCAGUAAGGAUUUUGGAAGAGUCUGAAAGGAGGACCCGUCAGAAAACAACAAAAAAUUUCAGGGUUCAGUGGAGCAACCACACUGAGGAUGAAGCUACAUGGGAAAGGGAAGAUUUCCUUCAGGCAGAAUACCCAUACCUAUUUGAGGAUCAGCUGAAAUCUCGAGGACGAGAUUUUUCCUAAGGGGGUAGGUGUUGUGACACCCAAAAUUUUAUUUGGCUUUUUCAAAACUUUUUCUUGUUUUGAGGGAAGUGAUUUGAAUUUUUCUUCUAAAAGAACUUUCCCUCUCAACAUAUUUUCUUUUAUGACUAGUACUUCAUUUUUGGUUUCACUCAAAACUUGAUUUUGGUCUUGAGGGUUUUCCACUUUAUUUUGGACUCAAACCAAAAUGUUUUUCUCUUGGAAAAAUGCCUUUUGAAAAUUUCUUUGAAAAAGGCCCUAGAGCUUUUGGAAAGAUCCUUUGCCACUUUCAAAAAUUCCUCUUGCCAUGGCCCAAGGGUAAAUUCCCUCCCUUAAACCUCUCCUCACCUUUGGAUCAUGACUUACUUCAAAUCCAGCAAGUUGAACCUCCCCAUGUGAUUAUUUUCCAUUUAAAUCUUAUCAAAACAAUUUCUGUCUCCUAUUCUAGCCCUUGGAGAUUUACAAAGGAGCUACCUUUUCUGUUUUGAUUUUUGCCCCCAAACCUUUUUCCCUUCCUAGUCCUUUGAACCCUCAACCAAGAUCCAUGAAGAUCCACUGGUCUUCAGUUCAAAUUUUUCAAACUAUACUUGCUGCAAGUUUGGACCAGAUUUGUCAAAUUUGGUGAAAUUCAUUCAAAUCCUUCUCCAUAAAUUCUGAGAAAAAUCAGGCAGCCUCUGGGUUCAUUGAGAGGUCACCUCACCAAGUCCCAGCUCCAGGAAAAAUUUUCUGCUUGCCAAAUCAUUCUAUCGAACACCUGCAGGGCAUUGUCAAUGUCAAGUUCAGUAAAUUCAGAGUGCAGUUCAGAAGCUGCUGUCAUUUUCUUCAGAACAUCUCCUCGAUCUCGCCAGUAACCGCGUUGGCACCUUGCUUCCCGUCCCCUCCCCCUUGUCCCUGCACCGCACGAACGCCUGGGCGCUUGCGGGUGUCGGCGACGAGCUGGAGGAGGUGCGCCGCCCCGUGACCGACGCCAGCGGCGGCUUUGCGGCCGCCAAAGAGAGGCGCGGCGCAGACGGCACCACCCAGCACCGCCCAAGCCACCGAAGAUCGCCGCGUGGCCGCCCACUCCCCAGAACGCGCUGCCACUCUCGUCGUGAACCGCUGGGCGCGGAGCGCGCUCUCUGCCGCCGUCGAGCCCGUGCGGCCACCCCACCAUGGACCAGCGCCAUUACGCCAAGACCGACCAGGAUUAGCGGGAGAGCGACACCAGUACACCUCACUGAUGCUGCCUGGCCACUCAAACCCCCUGCUCAACCACUGCCUCGCCGUAAUCGCUCGCCGGAGCAACCCCGUUCACGGCCACCCCCUCGAUCCGCCUAUAAAUAGAGGCCCCGAGCUUCAACUCGAACACACACCAUCUCUGCACUCCACCUAGACCGCGCCAAGCCACUGGAAGAGCCCCGAGGGAGCUUUCUUCCCCAGCUCCGGCCGCCGCGACCCGCCACGGGAUCCAGCUCGAUUCGCUCCCGUGCGUGCACCUCUGCCUCCCAUCUCUUGCCAGUAGCUCUCUAGUGCAUCCCUCUUCCUGACCCGCGCUUCAAUUCGAGGUUUGCAGCACCCACCGGAGUUCUCCACCAUCGCCCGAGCCGCCGUCCGCCGGAGAAAGUGUCGCCGUCGACGUGGUGCUCUCCGACGGUCGAGACCACCACCCACCGACGCGGAAGGACACGCUGAAGCUCUUGGUACACUCCGAUCUCCCUAUCUCGCCGUGGUUCGACGCCGGCGACCACCGCAGUCUUCGGGCGCCGGCGAGCUUUUUAAACCUGACAUGUGGACCCCCCCUGUCAGCCUCUAUUCUCCUCUCCCUUGAAACGUUUUCUGUUGGCGCCUUCGGGCAAAUACGUCUUCCUUUUGAGCUGGCGCGUUUCUUUCCGAAGCGUUUUCUGUUUUCUCAGUUAAACCCCUGGAACUUUUCUGUUUCAUUACAGACGAGUCCCUGGACAGAAACCUUUAUAACUUUUUAAUAAAAAGUGAUUUUUGAGUGAUUCUUUUUUUGUCAGUCUUGUAUUUUUGUCUAGUUUUUUAUAGUAUUUAUUUGGAAAAAAUUUGGAGAAGUUUUUAUGCACGUGUUGGUUUUCACGUUAGUGCCCGUUUUCGUUAUGCCGUAGGUUCCGGAAGAGGUGACGGAGCCGCGAACUUCGCCGAGCUAGACUCCGACUUCUCCGAACCAGGCAAGCAUGUUUGAACCUUUGAUAUGAUAGGUGUUUUUACAUGUUUGCGUGAGAGGUUGUGCGUGGCAUAUGAGUAUCGGUGAGUACCUCGUUGCUUGUGAAGCAACUACCCACAUGUUCCAAAGUUGCGAUGAUCUCUGGUGAGAGAUGGCUUAAUCAUGUGGUGACAUGAAGGGCAGCAAGGUGGUACUGUUGUAGCAUACCAGCCUUGCGUCAUCCGACAAAUUCCGACGUUAACGUGGACGGAGUCACGUUAUCGUUCUUCCACCUUCCGUGCUACCACAUGUUUUCUGCCAGAAUGUGGUUUAGUAAGUUGGUAACCUCUUUCCGUGUACACACCAAACAGAGGGGCCGGGAUGAUGGUUCCAUGGCCCUGGAUUAAAGCCAGUCAUCCGGUCAGGGGGCAUGGGUGUUUCCGGUUGGGACCGAGAGGGGGGCACCCCUUAGAGCGCGCGUAUAGAAAUUUGAUCCCAUGCUACGCGAGGUUGUAGCCUCCCCGUCUCAAGGUUUUUCUUGAACGUUGCCGAGGGUGAUCCCUGGCUUCGGAAUGUUGAAUGGGUGUGUACUGGUUAGACGUGUUUCUUCCAAAACACCGUAAACGGAACUAGUCCCCGUGACUACUGAAAUCCGUUGGCUGUGGUUAAAGUACAAACUCUGCAGAGUCAAAUCCUUCCGAGUCAUCGUAUCCAUAGUCAAGUAUCGUGAUCAGCGUAUCCAUGUCUAUGUCGUAACCUCGUGGUAUAUCCUUCGUUCCGGUAAGUAAGCUUGAGUAGUAGACUUGGCGGAACGUUACUCCUGUGGAUGGACUAACCCUGUUGUUUAUCUCAUGUCUGAUUAUUCUCGUGAUAUGAUUUAAAAAUUCAUGAGCUACUAAGUUACGAAAAUAAGCCCUUUAUGUGAUGUCGCUCAGACGUCCGACUGUGGCACGUUUGUCUCUUACUUUCAAUAUAAGCCCUGUAUGUGAUGUCGCUCAGACGUCCGACUAUGGCACGCACUGCCUUUAUUUUCUGUUAUAAGCCCUUUAUGUGGUGUCGCCCCGACGCCCGACUGUGGCAUUAUUAUCCUUGCAGUUUCCUCUCGAGGAGUCAUUCAGGCCCUCGUUUGGCACCAGUAUUACUAUUCUUGCAGUUUCCUCUCGAGGAGUCAUUCAGACCCUCGUUUGGCACCCAGUAUUUACUUUCGGAUUUCGGGAGGACUACCGCCCGACUUCUCUGUUAUUUUCCCAUGCAUUAUUGUCUCUAUGUCUGAACGCACUUGUUAUUCCAUCCUUACGCUUCAUGUUUACAUUUGUUAUAUCUUAUGUCCGAACUGUCUUGCGAGUACUUUCAUAGUACUCACCUGGCUUGUUGAUUUGGCCAGAUGUUGACGAAGGCGAUCUCUUGGAUGAAGAAUUUGAUAGUGCGUCCGACGCCUAGAGGAGUCCCAGUCAGUCCUGUGCGAUCCCGGAUAUUGGUCACUUGUAUUAUAUACGCUUCCGCCACCCGCAAUAAGUCUCCUCGAGCCUCGCUCCGACGCUCGAAGAGCUGUAGUUUUCAGGAGUCAUAUCACCCACUUCGCGGUGAUAUUUCCACCAUCGUUGUUAUCGUGAGUUAGUAGUUAUGCCACCCUAUCCGCUAUUAUGUUUUAUCGGCAUUCAUGUAGUAAAUUGUUGAGCAGUCCCCGCUCAACCUUGUAUUAUAUUCAGUACUCCUGGUAUUUUUCUUCUGUGACCAAGAUAUUGUCUACCAGUGAGAAGGAAUUCUUCUUUACUGGUCCGUAAAAGGGAUUGGUCUCUCAAUAAAUAUUUUAUUGAAAAACCGGUCGUGACACCAUCGCUGGUGGUGAGGACAAGCUCAAAAGAACCACUGUGAGGACCUUGUUCAGCGGCACUCCUUCGGCAAGGGUAGGUUGGAGAUAUUUGAGAUGUGUCUUCUCCGCCUCCAAGAAAGAUUUUGUGAUGUGCUUGGUGAUUCCCUCUCUGCCUCCAAGAAAGAUUUUGUGAUGUGCUUCUUGGUGAUUAAGUAUGUGAUUCUUUGUUUUGCAAUAUAUUCAGCACUGUUAUUUGUUCAUGUUAUUAGCUGCCAAUCUGAGACAUGGGCAAAAGAAACAGCGGCGAUGCACACAACCCUACACAGCGCCACACGUUGUCGGUCAAGUAUGCAACAGCGGCUGCUCCACCAUGGAAUCAAAUGAGUGAGGUCUUUUUCCCCUUUCCAAAUUCUGGAAUCUUCCACUUCUAUAGAAUCCGACCAGCUGUUCUUACUUGUUAAUAAAAUGUUUGAAUCAGUAAGGGUGCAGCAACUGUUCUAUACAUUAGUUCAUCCAUCUAAUAUAGAAUCAAUACUUUAUACCCCCUUCUCAUAUCCCACUCUUUUCAUCACACAAUUCAGUAGAAAUCCUCUUCGCGUGUAUCUUGCCAAACUGGCCUCAUAAAUUCAAGCCAAAGACUGUACUGGCAACAAUUGUAAAUUCAUAAAAUGGGAAGAAAACAAACCUGCUGAUACGACAAUCAGAACAGAGAGUUAUGCACAUGUUUCUUUACUUUUCGAGUACUUUUGCACCAUCAAUUAUCAGUUGUGAUCACUCAGUUCUCUAAUGAAGUUGCUUGUUGAUUUUGGUCGUCCUUUCCAAUUUGCCCUGUCAUCUUGCUAAUAUUUUCCCUGUCAUCUUGCUAAUAAUGCAGUCAACUUUAUUUCGCUUUAAGCAUCAUCGAUUAUUCAAUCCCGGGAGUGAACGGUAUCACGAUUUAAAAUUGUAAACAAAUUCAAAAAAUUCCAAUUUUUUUGUGAUGAAAUAUACUUGAGUGUGUGAUGUCCGUGCCAAAUUUGGAGAAGUUUGAACAUUCGAGGUGCUCAUGCCAAAAAAAUCAAACUUGGGGCUGAGAGAAACCUUUGGAAAACAACACUAUUCAUGCCUGGAUUUGUCUUUUUUGCUGCGCGCUACUCGAAUGCCCAAACAUCACCAAAUUUUGCAUGAACAUCACGCACAUGCGCAUCUUGCUUGCACAAAAAAUUCGGAUUUUUUGACACUUUUUUCUAUUUUUAAUCAUGGUACUGUUCCCCGGGCUCAUUUGAGCCCGGGGAUCAAAGGGAAUUUCCUGGACUUCAUGCGCUAAUGUGCUUCCUUUGUUUCCUGUGGGGUUCUAAGUCAAAACAUGAGGCAAAUGCUGAUAAAUAAUAAUGUUGGUGUAAUGCCUUUCUCGGAAACAUAAAAAUGUACUUGUCAAGUUCUACAAACAAUAAAGAUUCUUAUUUUUUGCUAUACAAGCGCUUAUGUGCCAUAUUCUUUUAUUAGCAUACAAGGGGAAAGCAUAAGGGAGAAGGGGACUCCAUAAAGAAAGAACAAGAAGGUGACCCUGAAAAAUAAGCAGCUGGAGAACACCAAGCUUAUUGUGGAAUUUGUAAACAAAAUGUUGUCAAUACCUGAGAAAAUUGCUGGAGCAUACAAGGGGAAAGCAUAAGGGAGAAGGGGACUCCAUAAAGAAAGAACAAGAAGGUGACCCUGGAAAAUAAGCAGCUGGAGAACACCAAGCUUAUUGUGGAAUUUGUAAACAAAAUGUUGUCAGUACCUGAGAAAAUUGCUGGUGAGAACAUCACGCAUGAUCUCCUUAUAGUUUUUAAAUGAACUUGUAUGUUUAUCUUUUUUCACUAGAAUACUAGAUAAUGGGGCAUAGAUAUUUGAGAAGGCUUAGUGCAAUUAAUCUCUUUAUCUUGUAGUACUUUACACAUGGAUUCCAUUAUCGGAACAGGAGAUCCUAGCAAUAGAAAAUCAUAGAUGUGUACUAUAUUGUUGGCCAAAGGUUAACCAUAUGUACUAUGCUGACUUCUUUAUAUUUAUAGCAUUUGAGAUGGUUGUCUUGUCAAUGCUACAAAUUGGUAUUUCUACUUCUAGAAAAAUACAUAUUAGUUUUCCAAAUAACUGCUAUUGACCUUACAUGAUUCUUUGAGGUCUUACUAAUUUAUAUUUGUUAGGACAUACACUUGAACAUUUAUAGUAAGUAUCUUACUUUGUUUGUUGGAAAGUGAUACAAACCAACGUGGAUAGUGCUAUUGUUCCUAUGCAUAGGCCAAAUUAGUCAUGGCUAUUAUAGACUUCCAAUUCUUAUAGCACUACACUAAAUGAAUGGGGUUACUCACUGUUUCAGAGGAGUUUGUCAAUAAUUUGGCUAUGUGGUGUCGAAGUAUUCCCCCAUGAGGCUACACCUUCAAGGGUGACACUAAGCAAGCAUUCAGAUGCACAUAUAUAAGAGAAGCUCAAUCAGUACGUAGAAGUUGUGUUGC
rnacentral:lncRNA from 1 species